GAUGGAUACAUACCUUUCUUGCUCUUUUGAAACUUUUUGAGGAGAAUGAGAUGCUCUAUAUUUUCUUUUUCUUUUCUCUCAGGUGGGUAUCUUGUACCCCUAAUUCUACUGUCGGACACUUGUCCAUUUUUACCUCUCGUCUCACUUUUUCUUUUCUUUCGAGGUUCCGGGCACUUGCCCAUUUUUAUUUCCUCGUAUCUUCUCUUUUUUUAGAGUACUCACCUCUUUAAAUAAUGUAGCAAGUGGUAGUAACCGAAAUAUCUUGAGCAUUUAUUUCACAGGGGAAAACAGAAAUAGGACAAUGUUUUUGGCUAUUCUCUCCCGGAUUAGGAGUAGAAUAUUUUUGGGUAAAUCUGGAUAUGGAAAUGAGUGGAUGUAUGUGGAUGCGUACUUCCAGAGUAGAAGCAGCAUGUGUGAGUGAACGUGCAAGUGAAUCUUGAUUUAACCACAUGAUAAGCUCCUAAGGGUCUACACAGCUUGACCACACUUAAUGCUCAUAAGCAGUAAAAAGUAAAUGAAUGGUUCAUAGUCUAAUAAGCAUGUAUAUAUGGCUGUGAUACGAAUUUAAACUCUCAUCAUACAGGAACUCAUCAUGUUAUAUUUUAAAGAUUUUCAAAGAUAAAAUUCUCCAGAAUUAUAGCAUCUCUAGGAACAGAUAAACAGCAGCUCAACCUUCCCAUAUCAUAUCCGUUAACAACUUAGACUUUAGAUCAAGUACUCUUCCCACAAGUUCAGGUUUAGAGCAAAUCUUAAUUAAUAAUAGUCAUGUCUAAACUUGAGAGAGAUUUCAAUUUUGAGAACUAGUCAUGGCAGAGCAACUAUUCAUCAUUUCCAUGUGAGAGCUUAUCAUGAGGGUUCAUAACAAACUUUAUUUAUUUAUUUAUUUAGCAAACUAAGCAAAUAUAUAUAUAUAAGCACAAAAUCUUUAUUUGGGUUUUUAUGAUUAUGCAUCUUUUUAUUAUUUGAGUAAAGUAUAAACAUGAGUAGAACACUUAGCUGGAUAAAUGGGGGUGCUCUCCGCCAAGCUGGAUUUUGACGUAAUUUCUUCUGAUGUAGCUAGCAAGUGGCGGAGGUGUAUUUGAAUGUCGACAGCACCAUGACAGCGAUUAGGAUGUCCUUCGUCUGCUAGUCUUCUUUGAUCCUUGAAUUCAGUGGAGCUCAAAUAGACAACAAAGCUUUGUGGAACUGGUUAAGUGUUAGCAUAAAAAUCUCUUUGCCUUUAUCAUGUUAAGCCUCCUCAAUAAAUGUUACUUUCUUUGGUAGGAUCAUAAAUUUAUUUUUAUAUUUUCAUUUUUAUAGGACAGGAAUAUUUUUAUUUUUACGCCACCAAAUGAAUAUACUUAUGGGUUUUAUGCCACGAGCAUACUUAUAUAGGGCUUACUGUUUUUAACAUUUCUAAUUUCUAUUCAAGAUAGCAUAAUUAACUAACAGGCUAUUUAAGGAAAAUAAAUAAUUUAAGAAAAAAGAAAAUGCAUAAAGGAUAAAUAUGGAUAACUACUGAUUUUACCUUCCGGCGAGGGUUCGAUGUUUUAAGUCUUCUUAACAAGACUUCUCACCAUGUUCAUUCUUUAGUUGCGUCAUUUGAUUCAGGUGUGGACCUUGACGUCUGCACCUCUUGAUACGGUGUCACCCAUGUUCUUCGUUUGCCCAGCAGUUCGAAGUGCGGCAUUGGUAGCAUCCUACUCAGUGUGUUUGUGCUCGUAGAUCUAGGUCCUUCACUUGGUGGAAUUUGGGAGUUGUAAAACUCCACCAUGUUUUGCUCCAAGUGUACCUGCUCAUAGAGACAAGGCAAAGAUCAAGUGCAUGGGCCCUGCUGGUGGAAAACGCCAACAUAACCAAAAGUGUAUUUGUUCUUCUCCAACCUUAAGCACAGUGAGCAAGACAAAGUUGAUGGAUGUUGGGUAUUUUAAACGCAAACAAAAAAAUCCGCAAGCGCACGGAUACCGAUGUAGCUUUCACCCAGAAGUAUUCCAGUGUAUCGAUUUUCCACAGAGAACGUGAGUGUACUAAUUAAGAUCCAAGAUCGCCCAAGGAUAACUAUAUAAUUAUUUUUGGUAGGAAGAGAGGAAGUUUCCUGAGAGUUCUCUAGUUGAUCUAAGAAUCAAGAAUUACUUCAAGAUUAUCUAUAUCGGGACAUCAGAGCACUAACCACAGAAAGAGAUGAGAAGGGGGCUAGGAAGGUCUGACUACGGUCCUACAAACACCGAUCCGAACGUGGUGGAAUACGUCGACCGUUAGGGCUGUCACUACCCUAAGGCUACCACAACAAUCCGCAGGAUUGGGUGCAAUUCCAGGUAAUCGCAAGACUAAACAUCACGUCUAAUCUAUUAAUUACUACUCUAGCGUUAUAAAGACUAGAGCACUUGAUGCAAGCGGGAAUCCAAUAAAUAACUUGAAUGUAAAUAAAAGUAAUUAAAGAACUCAGGAAUUGUGAAUUGAAGAACCUGGAGAACGAUGAAGAACGAACCAGUUGCUGCAAAAGUAUAAUGUUGAGGAAGAUCCGACAGAUCCGGCUCCUCCUCCUCUGCUCUCCUCUUCUCUCACCCUAUUUUCUAGAUUACAACUAGAACUAACUAGAACUAGAACUAGAGGAACUAGAACUAGAACUAGAUGAACUAGAACUAGAUCUAGAUGAACUAGAGGUAGAACUAGAAGAACUAGAGGGAUCCUCUCUACUUGGUUGAAGAAUUGAAACCCUAGCUUUGAUUCUGUAGAAGAGGUAUGAUCUCCAGGGGCCAGGGGAGUCUGGUUUUAUAGUCCCUUCAAGUGAAUCUGGGCCGUCGGAUCAAACCGACAUUGAUCGUGUGGUUUUCCUUGAUCCUUUAGGUCGGUGGAGUGUUGUCCCUGAAUUGGACUCUGUUUGGUCCAGGGGGGAGGGCGGGCGCCCAGUAAGGGAGGGCGGGCGCCCAGUGCCCGGCUCCGUUACAUCUCCCGUUCGGUCCCGUGGCUUCUGGAGUCUUCUAGAUGAUAGAAAAUUGCGCGGCACGUUAAUAUCUCUAUGUAAACCCGACGUGUGGGCCUUUUUUCCGUAUUUCCUGAUAACUCCCUGCAGAAAUAGACAAACACCAAAACUUGUGGAAUUCUGUCAGAUAAAACCCUAAGUCUAGGUGUUGGUUGCAUUUGGAUCCUUUUCUAUGAUUAGUUGAUGGUUAAAUGUGAGCAUUAAGGACCGUCAACAAGCUCCCCCAAGCUUAACCUUUGCUCGUCCCUGAGCAAAGAUGAACUCAAGAGCUUCUGCAGUGGUUUCAUAACUUAAAGAUACACAUGCGUUUAAACAAGAUCUCAUCUCUAGGUUAGGGUAAACUGUUAAGAUUUAAAACUUACUCAUUUUACCUUCCACCAUGGGGCUUGCAACCGUCACUUGUGUCUUGAGCAGUUAAAAGAUAGAACGGUCAAGUCAAGCACCAUGUCUCUUGUUCUUUGAUCAACUAUAGCUCUAGAGUUUUUGCAGAUUUUCAAAUAAAACUCAGAGAUUCCUUGUAUGACUCUCUCUAGUCUCUCAUUUGUGGUAUUUCUGGAUCUUUACCAAGGCAGUAAUGGUAUAUGCCUUCUCUCAAAGUAUGUGGUAUUUGUGGUAUAAGGCAUAGUGACAUUGCCUUCUCUCUCACCCUACUCUAAUAAGGCUUUUGAUAUCUGGAGCUCAGAGGUGGGAGACAGCUAAUACAUACUUACAAGACAUUUAUUGCAUAGUCAAACCAUGGAUCCAAAAGAACAAGUCAAUAAGUCAAAUCAAGAUGUGCAUGUGUGGCGAAUGAAUGGUGUAUGGUGAUGAUGGUGAUAAUAAUGGUGAAAGUCUAAUUCUUCUUAUGCUCUUUUGAGGGGAUACAUACCUUUCUUGCACUUUUGAAACUUUUUGAGGAGAAUGAGAUGCUCUAUAUUAUUAUUUUUUUUUCUUUUCUCUCAGGUGGGUAUCUUGUACCCCUAAUUCUACUGUCGGACACUUGUCCAUUUUUACCUCUCGUCUCACUUUUUCUUCUUUUUUUUCUUUCAAGGUUCCGGGCACUUGCCCCUUUUUAUUUCCUCGUAUUCUUCUUUUUCUUCUCUUUUUUUCUUUAGAGCACUCGUCUCAUGAGAUAAUAUAGCAAGUGGUAGUAACAAGAUAACUUGAGCAUUUAUUUCACAGGGAAAAAAUAAAAAUAUUUUUGGCUAUUCUCUCCCGGAUUAGGAGUAGAAUAUUUUUGGGUGGUUCUGGAGAUGGAAAUGGGUAUAUGUGGAUGGUACUUCCAGAGUAGAAGUAGCAUGUAUGAGUGAACGUGCAAGUGAAUCUUGACUUAACCACAUGACAAGCUCCUAAGGGUCUACACAGCUUGACCACACUCAAUGCUCAUAAGCAGUAAAAAGUAAAUGUGUGGCUCAAAGUCUAGCAAGCAUGUAUAUAUGGCUGUGGUAGGAAUUUAAACUCUCAUCAUACAGGAACUCAUCAUGUGAUAUUUUAAAGAUUUUCAAAGAUAAAAUUCUCCAGAAUUCUAGCAUCUCUAGGAACAGAUAAACAACAGCUCAACCUUCCCAUAUCAUAUCCGUUAACGACUUAGACUUCAGAUCAAGUACUCUUCCCACAAGUUCAGGUUUAGAGCAAAUCUUAAUUAAUAACUGUGAUGCCUAAACUUGAGAGAGAUUUCAAUUUUGAGAACUAGUCAUGGCAGAGCAACUAUUCAUCUUUCCAUGUGAGAGCUUAUCAUGAGGGUUCAUAGCAAAUUUUAUUUAUUUAUUUAUUUAGCAAACUAAGCAAAGAUAUAUAUAUAUGCACAAAAUCUUUAUUUCGGUUUUUAUGAUUAUGCAUCUUUUUAUUAUUUGAGUAAAAUAUAAACGUGAGUGGAAUACUUAGCUGGAUAAAUGGAGGUGCUCUCCCCCAAGCUGAAUUUUGACGUAAUUCCUUUUGAUGUAGCAGGUGGCGGAGGUGUAUUUGAAUGUCGGCAGCACCCUGACAUUGAUUAGGAUGUCCUCCGUCUACUAGUCUUCUUUGAUGCUUUAAUUCUGUGGAGCUCAAAUAGACAACAAAGCUUUGUGGAACUAGUUAAGUGUUAGCAUAAAUAUCUAGCCUUUAUCAUGUUGAGCCUCCUCAAUAAAUGUUACUCUCUUUAGUAGGAUCAUAAAUUUAUUUUUAUAUUUUCAUUUUUAUAGGACAGGAAUAUAUAUAUUUAUUUUUACGCCACCAAAGUAAAUGUACUUAUGGGUUUUAUGCCAUGAGCAUACUCACAUGGGGCUUACUAUUUUUAACAUUUUUAUUUUCUUUUCAAGAUAGCUUGAACCUGAUUAACUAAGCAAACUAUUUUAAAUAAUUGAAAGGAAAAAGAUAACUACCAAGUUUACCUUUUGGCAAGGCGUUCGGUGUUUUUACGUCCUCCGAACGGGACUCUCCGUUUUCUUAGUCGUCCUGGAAUUCGCUGGAUGGCGUAGUCGGUGGUUCCGGCGGUGCCUGCUCUUCGUGUAUAACUAUCUUCUCUCUCUACACCUGCCUCGGUGCUACGGUCUCCUCAGGACAGUUCUAUUCAAGUUGUAUAUCUUCAGACCUUACAACUUCUCCUUCAUAGUCUACCCAUCCGUCCUUGAUGAUUUGCCUCCUCUGGUUGCGGUUGCGUCGUCUUCUUCUUGUCCUGACCUGCUUAGAGUCUUUAACUAUAUAGUUAGAGUCAGUAAAAUAGCGGCGUACCUUCUCAGAGGGGAAAUGCAUGUGGACUUCUCUGGUUCCAAUGUAGAUGAUUGCUUUAACGGUGUUGAGGAACAGUCUUCCAAGGAUGACGGGUGGAUUGUACUCGUCUUCUCCCAUGACAAUAACCUUAAAAUCAUCUGGAGCUGAAUGUAUGUUGGUUGUAGGGGCAUGGUUCCAUGCAGGAGUUGAUAAGUGACUGCGGCCAUUAUGUUGAUGUUAGAUCCGGUGUCGUAGAGUGUCUUCUGAAAAGAAUAUCCAUUGAUUGUGCACUCGAUGCUUGGAACACCAGGGUCGUCCUUCUUGAUCAAGAAAGGUGACUUGAGUUGACGAUCUUGACCUCCUUGAGCUGCAGCGACCAUCUUAGCUGACUCGGUACACAUUUGCUUGUUCCUAUUCCUCCUGUUGGUCCUCUUCCUUGGUUCAUGUCGGGAUUGCUCUGAGAUUUGUAUAGUCUUGUUCUUGAAGGAAAACAUCUCCUUCCUUCCCUUCAUGUAGAAACUGAUCUUGGCAGCACUAGCGUAGAUGAUAGCUCCCGAGGUGUUCAGGAAUGGCCUCCCUAGAAUGAUGGGUGCCCUCUCAUCAGUACCAGUCUCUAUCACUACGAAGUCUGCUGGGACGUACAAGGUACCAACUCGGACGUAGAGGUUCUUCAAUAUUCCCCUAGGCAUAAUGUUGACGCUCGAGCCAAAGUUGUAGAGUGCUUCUAGGAAGUCCACCAUGCCGAUGGAGAUCGGGAUGACGGGGCGUCCUGGAUUGUCUCUCUUGACCGGCAGAAGGUCAGUAAUUACUUCCACAACGGGGUUACUCCAGUAGUUACGUCCUCAAGCAUCUCAGGGCAGUGAUUGCCUGAGUAACCAGUAUCUCUAGUGUGUUUGUGCUCGUAGAUCUAGGUUCUUCACUUGGUGGAGUCUGGGAGUUAUAAAAGUCCUUCAUAUUUUGCUCGAAGUAUACCUGCUCAUAGAGACAAGGCAGAGAUCAAGUGCAUGGGCCCUGUUGGUGGAAAACACCAACAGAACCAAAAGUGUAUUUAUUCUUCUCUAACCUUAAGCAUAGUGAGCAAGACAAAGUUGUUGGAUAAUAAGAUCAUGAGUGUAGCAUUUAAAACAUUUGUCAGAUCAGAUCGCUUAACCUAAUGGAAAGAUAAUCAAUCUAUAUUUAUGUUGUUUUUUAUAUAUCUUCCAUAGAUUGAGUGUGCAAUAUUUUAGUUCAUAUGAUUAGGAGUGUGGGAUCACAAAGGUGGAAGGACUAAACAUAUUGAAUCGAUCGGGUUGGUUAAUCUAGAGUAGUAAAUCAUACAUGUUUGUCUCUUUUAUUCAUGUGAACGCCAGAACCAAGGAGAAGCUUAUAGAAGUGAUAGUCAAGUACCUUAAGAUGUUACCUUACUUGAAGAGUGAUGGUACAGUAUCACCUUGUGGAAGCUUUCCUUUCUUCGCGGUUGUGCAUCGUGUUUGUGGCACCCUCCAUGGAUCAUCUCUUGUGAGCUUUGCAUUCCUUGUGUAAAUUGUUAACCUUCAUGUGUCUCUCUAUUUGUCUCCAAUGUGAGUUUAUCUCAAGACUUCCCAGGUCGAUAUUGAAAGUUUUCCUGCAGGGGUUAGUCCAAUAAAAUAUCCAAUAUCUACUAUAGCAUACUAUCGGCUCAAAAAUCAAUCUAGACACCAUGUCUAAUUUGAUUUAGGAGGGAAUUUUAACCUAAGCAUCAUGCUUAAUUUAAAAUCCUUUGGAAGUAAGAGCAUCAUUCCUAAACUAAGCACCAUGCUUAAUUAAGAGAUAAAUGAAACUACUCCAAACCUAGACAUAUACUAAAGCAAAUAAAGGUAGCAUGAGAGCAUUUAUAGAGAUCUACUCAAGUGGAGAUAAAGUAGUGUGAUUAGUAUUUAACAAAUUGAGCAUGUCUCAAAGGUAGGGACAACCAACAUAGCAACAUGGCAAAGGAUGUUUUUAUGUAAAGUAUUCCCCCAAGCUUGAAUUUUGCAAAAUUCAAGUUUGGAUUAAUUUAAUUCAAUGUUGUAUGAUGAUUGGUUGGACAUACCUUGUGCUUGUCAUUCAUCUGAUCUUCUUGUUCCAAUCCUGGAAUGGUUAGUGACAAGAAUACCCGAAGGAAUUUUUCUACAAUUAUCUUUAUAUGCUCAAUACACAAGGCAAUGUUGCAAAUAAUUAAAAGCUCAUGUUACAAUUUGAUCAGUGCUUGUUUUAGGACACUAAGCUUGUCCUUGGGAAACCAUUAAUUUAAGUCGGCGAAGUGGUUUCCCCUCCAACGCUGACCUAUAUCGAGAUCUGCAAUAUUUAAUAUAGACAUAUGCAUCGACAACCGCCCUUUUAAAGUUUUUAUGAAUAGAAAGGAAGAGGGGGUUGGAGAUCUCGAAUGUGGUGAUGUUGGAGAGACCAAUGGAUUGUGAAGAUGUUGCAUAUGAGCAUGGAGUAAAUGAAGUGGCUAUGAAAUAAAUUCCAUGCUCAUUAAUGCUUAGAGUGAAAUCCAUGUGGUAUGGUGAAAGUGAUAAGGUGAGUGUGGUAAAAAAGGAAAAGAAAAAGGAUACACGGAUGACUUGGUUCGAAACUAGCACAGCUACCGUUCCCCGGCAACGGCGCUAGAAAGCUUGUUGGGUAUUUUAAACGCAAACAAAAAAAUCCGCAAGCGCACGGAUACUGAUGUAGCUUUCACCCGGGAGUAUUCCAGAGUAUCGAUUUUUCACAGAGAAUGUGAGUGUACUAAUUAAGAUCCAAGAUCGCCCAACGAUAACUAUAUAAUUAUUUUUGGUGGGAAGAGAGGAAGUUUCCUGAGAGUUCUCUAGUUGAUCUAAGAAUCAAGAAUUACUUCAAGAUUAUCUAUAUCGGGACAUCAGAGCACUAACCACAGAAAGAGAUGAGAAGGGGGCUAGGAAGGUCUGACUACGGUCCUACAAACACCGAUCCGAACGUGGUGGAAUACGUCGACCGUUAGGGCUGUCACUACCCUAAGGCUACCACAACAAUCCGCAGGAUUGGGUGCAAUUCCAGGUAAUCGCAAGACUAAACAUCACGUCUAAUCUAUUAAUUACUACUCUAGCGUUAUAAAGACUAGAGCACUUGAUGCAAGCGGGAAUCCAAUAAAUAACUUGAAUGUAAAUAAAAGUAAUUAAAGAACUCAGGAAUUGUGAAUUGAAGAACCUGGAGAACGAUGAAGAACGAACCAGUUGCUGCAAAAGUAUAAUGUUGAGGAAGAUCCGACAGAUCCGGCUCCUCCUCCUCUGCUCUCCUCUUCUCUCACCCUAUUUUCUAGAUUACAACUAGAACUAACUAGAACUAGAACUAGAGGAACUAGAACUAGAACUAGAUGAACUAGAACUAGAUCUAGAUGAACUAGAGGUAGAACUAGAAGAACUAGAGGGAUCCUCUCUGCUUGGUUGAAGAAUUGAAACCCUAGCUUUGAUUCUGUAGAAGAGGUAUGAUCUCCAGGGGCCAGGGAGGUCUGGUUUUAUAGUCCCUUCAAGUGAAUCUGGGCCGUCGGAUCAAACCGACAUUGAUCGUGUGGUUUUCCUUGAUCCUUUAGGUCGGUGGAGUGUUGUCCCCGAAUUGGACUCUGUUUGGUCCAGGGGGGAGGGCGGGCGCCCAGUAAGGGACGGCGGGCGCCCAGUGCCCGGCUCCGUUACGUCUCCCGUUCGGUCCCGUGGCUUCUGGAGUCUUCUAGAUGAUAGAAAAUUGCGCGGCACGUUAAUAUCUCUAUGUAAACCCGACGUGUGGGCCUUUUUUCCGUAUUUCCUGAUAACUCCCUGCAGAAAUAGACAAACACCAAAACUUGUGGAAUUCUGUCAGAUAAAACCCUAAGUCUAGGUGUUGGUUGCAUUUGGAUCCUUUUCUAUGAUUAGUUGAUGGUUAAAUGUGAGCAUUAAGGACCGUCAACAAUGGAUACUAAGAUCAUGAGUGUAGCAUUUAAAACAAUUGUCAGAUCAAAUCGCUCAACCUAAUGGAAAGAUAAUCUAUCUAUGUAUAUGUUUUUUUAUAUAUCUUUCAAAGAUUGAGUGUACAUCAUUUUAGCUAAUAUGAUUAGGAGUGUAGGAUCACAAAGGUGGAAGGACUAAACAUGUUGAAUCGAUUGGGUUGGUUAACCUAGAGUUGUAAAUCAUACAUGUUUGUCUCUUUUAUUCAUAUGAACGCCAGAACUGAGGAGAAGCUUAUAAAAGUGAUAGUCAAGUACCUUAAGAUGUUACCUUACUUGAAGAGUGAUGGUACAGUAUCACCUUGUGGAAGCUUUCUUUCUUAGCGGUUGUGCAUCGUGUUUGUGGCACCCUCCAUGGGUCAUCUCUCUAUGAUGAAUGAGCUAUGUUCUUUUUGUGCAAAUCGUUACACUUCAUGUGUCUCUCUCUCUUCAUCUUUGAUGUGAGUUUAUCUCAGGACUUCCCAUAUCGAUAUUGAAAGUUUUUUCUGCAGGGGUUAUUCCGACAAAAUAUACCAAUGUCUACACAAGCAGUUUUUAGUUCAAUAACCGAACUAGACUCCAUGUCUAAUCAGAUUAAGGAAGGCUAUUUAACCUAAGCACCAUGCUUAAUUUAAAAGCCAAUAGAAGUAUGUGCAGUACUUCCAAACUAACACUUACUAGGAUAAACAAAGGUAGCGUGAUGACAUUUAUAGAGAUCUACUCAAGUGGAGAUGAAGUAGUGUGAUUAGUAUUUAACAAAUUGAGCAUGUCUCAAAGGUAGAGACAACCAACAUACCAACAUUGCAAAGGAUGUUUUUAUGUAAAGUACUCCCCAAGCUUGAAUUUUGCAAAAUUCAAGUUUGGAUGAAUUUAAUUCAGUGUUGCAUGAUGAUUGGUUGGUCAUACCUUGUGCUUGUCAUUCAUCCGAUCUUCUUGCUCCAAUCCUAGAAAGGUUAGUGACAAGAAUACCCAAAGGAAUAUUUUCACAAUUAUCUUUAUAUGCUCAAUACACAAGGUAAUGUUGUAAAUAAUUAAAAGCUCAUGUUAUGAUCUGAUGAGUGCUUAUUUUAGGACACUAAGCUUGUCCUUGGGAAACCAUCAAUUUAUGUCCGCGAAGUGGUUUCCCUUCCAACGCUGACCUAUAUCAAGAUCAACUCAACGAGAUCUGCAAUAUUUAUUAUAGACAUAUGCAUCAACAACCGCCCUUUUAAAGUUUUUAUAAAUAAAAAGGAAGAGAGGGUUGUAGAUCUCAAAUGUGGUGAUGUUGGAGAGACCAAUAGAUUGGGAAGAUGUUGCAUAUGAGCAUGGAGUAAAUGAAGUGGUUAUGAAAUAAAUUCCAUGCUCAUUAAUGUUAUCUUCAUCUCCAAUCUGAAUGUUCGGGGUUUCUCCUGGAUUGGUCUCACCUAUGUCCUCUUCUCUAGUUGGAUGAAUCUCAUCUUCAAAGGGAGUCAAGAGCUCACCAUUUGAAAUUGAGCCAAAGUCAGAAUCCAUUAAGGCUUCUUCCUUAUCCAUCCAUUCUACACACUCUAGCCAUUUAGAACUUGUGAUCAGGAAAGGGGAGGUGUUAGAAUUUUCUAUAUGGCUUAGCUCUCCUUCUAUGACAUUACUUGACAUGUCAUCCUCAUGGUCUUUAUGACUCCUAUGGUUUGAUCGUCUUGAUAUAUUGUUAGGAUCAUCAUGAGACUUAAAAGGAGAGGGAUAAGAGGGGUCUCUAAGGUCAAGGAUGGAUUUAGAAUUUGUGAACAUGGAAGGGGAGCAGAUAGAAUCUUCUAUAUGGUUUAGCUCUCCUUCACUUGAUAUGUCAUCCUCGACUUCUUCAUAAUAGGAACCAGGACAUUCUCUAAGAUAACCAUCAUUGCAAUGAUUUGAAUUAUCUAUGCUUGAAAGUCUCUUAUGGAACCAAAGUCUAAACCAUCAGUAUCUGAAAGAUUUAAGGUUGGAAUUCCUUCCUCCCUUGGGAGAAUUUUGGGGUAUUGAUGGUUUAGGAUCGAUAGCUAAAGUUUGGGAUUGAAGUGUUUGUGAUCUGGCUAUCGAAACUUCUUCUUCUUGUCUAGGAACUGGUUCUUUCUCUUUCUCAUGGAUAAAAAAGGUAGGAAACUUUUCACUUAAUGAAUCAAUUAAAUCUCUAGCUUCACUAGCAGGCAGGUGAUAGAAGGAUCCUCUAGAGGCCGUAUUCAAGGUUUUCUUAUUUUCCCUACUAAGGCCCUCAAAAAAGUGAAUGAGAAGAACUUCUUCUGGAAUAGAAAGCUUUGGGCCAGUGAGAGUAAGGUUAAUAAAGCGGUCCCAUGAUUUUCCAAGAGAUUCUUCUUCCAGUUGUCUAAAAGAAAUAAUCUCCCGCCGAAGUUCUGCCACUUUGGAGAUUGGAAAAUAUUUAAAAAGAAAACUAUUAUAUAAGUCCUUCCAAUCUCCAUGAACACUCCCUACUUUGAGUUUGUACCAAUGUCUAGCUUUUCCUGUUAAAGAGAACGGAAAGAGCUUCCAUUUAAGGGUCUCAUCAGACAUGCCUUCAAUGUGAAGGAGGUCACAGACUCGAUAAAACUCUCUUAGGUGUGUGUAUGGGUUUUCCUCACCUUCUCCUGAGAAAGGUUGUUUUUGAACAAAUUCUAUGUAUUCGGGGUCUAUCUCAAAACUAGAUGCUAUGAUAGGCUUUGAAGAUUUUGGUGGUUCGAGAUGUGUGCCCGUAGGUCUAUGAAAUUCAUAGAUAGACAUGUUUGCCUUCAUGAUAGACCAGAGAUCAAGGAUUAGAUAAGAAGAAAGAACAGCAGAGAUAAGGCAAAUGAUAAAAGGAAAAAUAUAUUUUUUUUAUUUUUUUAGAAAAUGAUUAAGCUAGUUCGUAGUCAACUCAGCAACCAUUUCCCCGGAAACGGCGCCAAAAAUGCUUGUUGACACUUGCUAACACUACUUGAAUACUAGGUAGUCAUCCGUAGCAUGGCACUAGAGUGUACUAUGGUAUUUAUACGCACACAGAUAAAUCCGCAAGCGCACGGAUACCAUUGUAGCUUUUACCCGGUUAAAGGUUUUAUCGUAUCCACAGGGAAACGGGAGAACUGAUCUAUGCUCUAACUUAACCUAGAUAGAUAGGUAGGUGUAAAUAGGAAAGAUGGUAGAAUUGAGUAAGAACAAUAUUCAAGGUAAGAUAACAAUGGGUGAUAAUAUGGGAAUAGAGAGUAGGGCAAUCUAGUAUAUGCGUGAUGGUAGGAGAACAGAGAGGAUAACUAUGGUUUCUCUACAUCAAAGAGGUAUGUCUAUGUCUAGGACAAACCACAUGGUAAGAAUACACCACAAAGGAUGCUUAUCCAUAGGCCGAUAAACCCUACCAGUCCUACUAACGGGAGGUGGACUACAGGGGACCAACGUAACUGUCACCUACGCGGCCUGCCACACAAUCCGGCUAAACAGGGGAUAUCCACAAGUAAUCUAGGUCUAAGCACCACGCUUACACAUAUACUACAACUCUCACCUAUAGCGUCCUAUAGAUUAAAGUACUCAAAAGAGUUGUCAACCAGAACAUACAUGGAUAGUAAUUGCAUAAUGAAAUAGAAGUAGAUUACCAGAGUCAUCCCACGAGCAAGCUUGAUUAGAGCUUAAUCAUGGCGAAGUAUAACCGGAGGAAGAACCGACAGGCCGGCCUCUCCUCCAAUCCUCCCUCGCUCUCCAUCUCGCUACUAUCUAGAUCUACUCUAGUUUAGAGAAGAGAGGAGAGCUCUCAUCUCCAAACCCUAGCUUUUGUUCUGUCUAUGAAUAAUGAAUAAGGAUGAAGGGGUUGCCUCCGCCAGGGGCUAGGGGGCCUGCUUAUAUAGUCACCUCAAGUGAAUCUGGGCCGUUGGAUCAAACCGACAUUAAUCACACGGUUUUCCUUGAUCCUUUAGGUCAGUGGACCAUAAUCCACGAGAUUGAUCGUGAUUGGCUGAAAAAGUAGGGCGGGCGCCCUGUCCCUGAGCCCACUCGGCUUCCCGUUCGUUCCCGUGGCUUCUGGAGUCUUCUAGAUGAUAGAAAAUUGCGCGGUACGUUAAUAUCUCUAUGUAAACCCGACAUGUGGGCCUUUCCUCCAAAUUUCCUGAUAACCCCCUGCAGAAAUAGAGAAACACCAAAACUCGUGGAAUUCUAUCAGAUAAGACCCUAAGUCUGGGUGUUGGUUGCAUUUGAAUCCUUUUCUUUAUUUAUUUGAUGAUUAAAUUUGGUACUUAAGGACCGUCAACACUCCUACGGCGGGGUCAUAAAGAGAAUCCACAGGUGUCCUGCUUAUGAGACAACGAAUGGUUGUGAAAUAGGAGAGAAGCCUGAUAACAUCAGACGACACUUCUGACUCCUUCAGCCAUUCGCUGCUCAUAACAGUCAUGAGCUCUUGACUAGUUGCUUUGAGGUAACAAGCCUCUAAGCGAGAAGAUACUUGCUCUUUUGGAGUGUUGUGGUUUCUCUUUUGCACAGGUUGUUUCGAGAUGUUGCCAUAAUCGGUGAAAAGAUCCAUCUUGAUGUUAAGAGGAUACUCCAAUGGAUGAAUCACUUCUUCCUUUGGAGGUAUUUGGGAUUGUGGUUUAGGCUCGACAGCUUGUGAUGUGGCUAUUGUAGGGUCAGCUGAUGAGGUUUCAUCCCUAGGGGCUUGGUCUUCCUCAGGGGCAUCACUAUGGUCAUCAGUGUAGGGGGUGUUGUCUAGUAUGGUUGCUAGGACCACCCUACCUUCACUAAUGGGUAAAUGAAGGAAUGCUCCCUUCGAGGCUAGAUCAAGGAAUUGUGUGGAACUUUGCCUAAGACCGAGAUAGAAAUGCUGCAUUAGCGUUGGCUCGGUUAUGGCUAAGUCUGGGCCUGAGGACACUAAGUUUGUGAUUCGUGCCCAAGCCGCACCUAGAGAUUCCUUCUCUUCUUGCUGGAAGUUUACAAUCUCUCUACAGAGACAAGCCACACGAGAAAUGGGGAAGUAGGUAAGGCAAAACUUGGCUUACAGCUUCUCCCAUUCUCUGUCUACGCUACCUACAUAGCAAGAGUACCACCGUCUGGCUUUUCCCAUCAAAGAGAACAGGAAGAGAUUCCACUUACACAGCUACAGAAAACAUUUUUACAUACGAUGCUAAAAGCAUCUUCAUAGGUGGCCAAGUCCAUCGCCUGUACCGGGGGUCAUUACAAAAUGGACCACAGUACAGGCGGGGUAGUGUGAGCCACCUAUGGAAAUUGGGUUUUCACAGGCAGCUCACCUAGUCAGCCGCCUAUGUAAAUGUAUUUUUACACAAGCGGCUGACAAGGUGAGCCGCCUGUGAAAACCCAAUUUUCAGAGGCGGUUCACACUACACCGCCUAUGUAAAUAAUUUUUUAUAUAUAUUUCAAAUUUUAAUUUUUCCCACCACACAUAGUGCUAAACAUCAUAUAUAUAUACACAUCAUACAUACACCACAUAUAUAUAUUAUAGAAUUGUAAACAUGAAAUCAAACAUGAACCAUAAAAUUACAUAUAUAUAUAUACACGUCAAUGCAUGUUAUCCGCACAACCAUACAGUGUUUACAUGUCAUUUCGCUUCAGAUUUAGACCUGCUAUGUUUGUCAGCACUCUAAAUUUAUCACUUGCUAAAUCUUCCUCAUGAUCAAAAUAUGCACAGUCACUUAGAAUUAUUUCUCUCAUAAUAAAACCGCACAAGUCUGCUACUAUAUCUUCUAGAGUCUUUGGUGUAAAGGGCACAUCCUUUCCGUGCUUUUUCGGCUGGAAACAAAGUUUAAAAGCAUGAUUGAGACAUGUUCAAUGUAUACUUUUGCAACUUUAAUAUGAAAACUUCAUAGAUAGAUAUUAUUUACCAUAUUUUUGUCCCUUACGUAAUAUCCCCGCUGCCUUAUAAACUCACAGACAUAGUACCCACAAUAGACUGAUCCAGGUGGUUGCUUGUGGCACUAUAUUAUGAGCAACAGAUUAUACUAAACUUGCCAUGCCUUAUGUAUUAUUUAUAUGAUGAAAUGUGUUCGGACAACUUACCGGAUAGUGAUGUUGUAUCGUCAAUGGCAGCCUAGGAUCUGAGUGUGCGGCAUCGACCGGUCCUUUUUGUUUCUUAUAAAACUGCCAUGCCCUAUAGAUAUCGAAUAUAAAUCACUAAAGUUAUUUUGAAACUCUAAUUCAUAUAAGUACACAUGUGGUUUCAUAUUGGCUCACCUUUCUAAUUGAACCAAGAAUGGUUAAUACUUCUUGGGAGGAACAUUUAAAGAGUCUAGGACAAGCACCUUCCCUUUGAAGGGAUAGUUAUAAAAAACAAUCCAAUGGUCACUGCAUGAAUAAAUGAGUGAGCGACACAUGUAUAUUGUUUACACAAUAAUUUGAAGUACGUAUAUGAAGUCAAGCUUACCUAAAGUUGUAAGGUGCCAAUAUAAAAUCCCUGUACUUAUACCUCAGCAUUGAUCUACCAAGAUAGAGGGCAUAUUUUUUGUUGAUGCAAAAGUAGAUCUACAAACACAAAGGGCUAAUACCCAAUUCAAACGUUGAGGCAUGCCUGCCGAUUUGACCUUACAAUCGACAAAUGUGGUAACUCAAAUACUUUGGUGCCGACAACAGCGAUGCGCCCGGAUGCCACGGCCAAGAGGUAUUCAUGUGGAACUCGAGAACUCGUCGAGUAUGACUCGAUGAAUUCUUAAGAACUCGUAUGUAAAAGAAAAUAUGUAAGUUGAUGAAGUCGUCGAAAAUGUAGACGCAAAAGUAGACGUAAAACUUGUGUAUAGUAUUGAUUGAUUUUUCUCUUACAUUGCCGCUAGGCCCAUAUUUAUACUCUACUCUAAAGAGUUACAAUCGUAUACGACUAGGAUGUAAUUCUAAACCAAAUAGGAAUCGUACAUAAAACAAACUCUAACAACUAUGGAAAGUAACAACCUAUCUAUCUUUGCCAAUCAGCACACCACCAUUGCCUUCUUAGCAACUCCCAUGUCUCCCUUUGUUGUCAUCGGCAUAUUCCCUGCAUCCUUUCAUAAUCAUCGGCACACUCCUCUUCAUUAGCGUCGGCAAUCAUCAAUACCAGCAAUCAGCAUUACUCAGCAACCAUCACCAGACUCAGCAACAUCUUCUUCCUAUUGUUAUAUCAUCGGCAAUGUUGACCAUCGGUAAUCCUUCUAUCGGCCAUACACAUCACUUCUUUGACUACCGAUACUGACUACCCUGAUCCAAAAAUAGUGUCAACACAUGCCCCCCAAUUUCAGAGUAUGGAGUCAUUAAUGCUCCAAAAUUCUCUCCUGAUAAUGAUAACCUUUUCACAAUUAUUUCCUUCCGAUGACAAUUAAUUACCAAAUGCAAACAACUUUAUUUAUGAUCUCCAUCAUAUACCUCGAAUCUCUCAACCAUCCGAACCAAAUCUCCUAAACAUACGCUCAUCGGAAACUGUUCUGUUAGUGCUGGCUGCCGAUGAAUCGACCAAAAGAUCUUGCAAAGUGGGAUAUCUCCUAAAAUCAUGAUUACUCGCUGUCAAAUCACCUGCACAAUCCCUUGAUUACCGUGCGAAUAGUUACCAUAUCCAUCUGAACAACCUUGAAUUUCAUAGAUAUGGCAAAGAGAUAAUUAAAAAUACCCCUGCUCAUUUCAACCUAUAAAUAGAUCCUUCCUUAGUACUCAUUCUCUACAUUACCAUCCUCCAUCCCCAAACUUAUCUCUCUAGCGGCGGCAUUGACGAAGAACCCCGGUAGAACCUUCCCAAAAAUCUUCAAGCCUUCGACUUCCUCUGUCUCAGGAAGAAAUGGCCAUCAACUUCAUCGUCCCUGAGGUUAUUCUAUUCUCAUCUUCUUCUUCCUUUACUGCAACCCUUUACUUUUCGCAAGUCUACUUACUUAGCAUUUUUCUUUUCUUUUCUUUCUGUUUUACCAAUCUUCAAACUUUAGGAGUUGAGCGAGAAAAUCGUUAUUCCUACUGAACAACCCCACCUCCAAUGUCUCGGUCCAAUGGGUGAUCCAGAUCCCACCGAUCUGAUCAAUGCAAAAACCAAUAGGAUUCCUUUUAGGGCCGAGAAUUUUCUUUAGAUAUGGAAGGAUACUUUCCGAUCCUAGCCAAACCCCACCAAAGGAUGGAAAGACUAGUUUCUAAGAAUCAGUAAAACCAAUGAAUUAUGCUAGGGUGAAUGCAAAAUAGACCAGUGCAUCAGACUUUCCAUUGCCGAUAUGGAAAGAAAUAAAUCAAUGUUGAUAGCUACCUCAUACUUCUGGUCAGAUACUUUUAAUGCUUUUAUUUUCGGCCACGGCCCAGCUUCCCCUACGCUUGCCGAUGUGGUUGUGCUGACUGGUUUGGAUGUUGCCACUAUAGAUGAUCGUCAGUUAUUCGGACGCAAAGCCGAAUAUAAAGUAGAAACCCGCAACAUCGGUGGUUGGUCAGGAUAUAUUCAGAAAUAUCAACGAACGGGAUCAGUUAGUCAGAGAGAGCAUGCCACUUUUCUGAAUAUGUGGCUAGACAAAUUCAUCUUCUGCGGCCGAUCGGUAGCACCAACUUCUGUUUACUUAUCGGCAGCAGAAAGGUUAGCCGAUGGUAACCGAUUCACCCUGAGCCAAUAUCUGCUGGGUUCUGGCUAUCACCUCCUCCAUCAAGUAGCCGAGAAACUCCUGCUAGGUGAACCCAUCAGCAAUCUAGGAGGCCCCUAGUGGUUUAUCAACAUGUGGCUCAACGUUCAUAUGCACAAACAGUUUCGAUUUGACUUCUUCGCACAACAGUUCCCACGAGACAUCACCAAAGAUUAUGAACUGGCAGAUGAUGAAUCAGCAAUGCGCUCACCCCUCAAUUAUGGUGAAGCUGUUAUAGUCCUUCCUGGUACUGGCUCCAACGAGAACCAGAUCGGCCGAUUCUUUCAGACAUUGUAUGAUGGCCUAUCCAAAGAUCAGCGAGCAUGGAUGCCCUACGAAGAGCAAGAGUCUAGAUUUCCGCUCACUUUCCACCCCUUUGAUGAUGCUCUUAAUAAAGACAAUGACCUGAUGAUGGCAAUCAUCACCCCAAGAGCAAUCCCAGUAAACAGUUUUGGCAGCGGGAAGAACAUCAACACCACCUACGAGUUUUACAACCCAUCGGCACUAGCUCGCCAAAUGGCUUUCAGUCAGCUACCGAUCAGACUUUGUUAUGCCAAUGUUGUAAAACUGAGAGAGAUAAUAACCAGCGGACUUGAGUGGAUCAGAGUAGCCCAACUCUAGCCAGACGCCGAUACGACAGAUAUUGAUCUAUCGGCUUGGGUUCCAGCUCUCUUCAUCACUCAGUCAUACAAACAGUGGUGGGAAGAAUAGAAGGAGCAUCUGUUCUGGGUAUCGGCUCACAUGCAGCGCAACAUGAUUGACUUCAACUAUUAAGUUCCCAAUGAUGUUGUAAGUCCCUUGCCGAUACUUUAGUCCUUUUAUUAACUUUAACUUUAUCAGCAACUCACCCUUUUUCAUUUCAACAGGUUGAUGACCCAGCGCCAAUAGUAAGCAGAAGUGGGAGGCCGAUCGAACUUCUCCCAUCAGGCCCAAUCUCUCUGAUCGGCCACAACACCCCCAGCUUAGCAGCUCUGAUGCAUCGAAAUAUCAGCUUCAAAAAGACGACCACCAAACAGUCGAAAGUUUCUCCAUCGGUAGCUGCUACCACUUUGGCACAAGCUUUUAAGGUAAACUCUUAAUUCUCUCUAUUUAUACUGAUUUCAUCCCAUACUUACACUAUCUUUUUAGGGUACAUCGGCUGCAACAGGAACGUCAUCGGUAACUCUAUUUUGCACCAAAUUUUUAUAUAUAUAUUUUUUAGCAAAACUCCACCAAUACCUUUUCUUAUAUCUAACUCAUGAAAUUUUGGUUUCUUGUAACAGCAGACUGGUGCAUCGGCAAAGACCAAGAGUAUUCGAACAUCGGGUGCCGAUGCCCCCCAGCCCAGUCAAGCCCCACCUAAGAGAAAUAGUCCAAAGAGCACCAAGUCCCAGCCAAAGCGAUAGAAGACAACACCAUCCUCUCCACCUCACCCAGCAUCCCUGAUCCAAGUAGCACCCUCUCCUCCUCAAUCAGAGCCCCAGACGCAAGAAGUACCUCCUCCUGCACAAGCAGGCCCAGCCGAUGUGUGUGGCCAGACCACUGACCUAGUCGAUCUGGGCACAUUAUCGGUUGUUCCCCUUGAGUAGACAAUCGCCAUUCCCCGUCAAGGUAAAGUUCUGAUUACAAAAUCAUUACCGAUGAUUUCUUCUAUAAAUACCAUCAUCACCCUUGGCAAUUUUCAGUUGAUGAUAUUCCAUCAGUAGCUCUAGCCGAUCAAACUAUAGUACCAGCUGCAUCUCCAUGCCAGAGACAAGAAAUCUCAUUGAAGCAAGUAAGUCACCCAAUUCCCCAGAUUUGGCACCGUCAAUACUUAAUUUUUGGGUAACUUAUCUUUUCCCCUUUUAGGAGCAAGACUCUCCCGAUAGCCUAUUCUCUUUCGCUAUCGAUAUCUCUAAUGACUAAGGCGACGAAGCAAGCUCCUCAAAGGCACUUGGAAUCACAUCGACAGACAUUAAGACUAAGCUAGAAGAUCUACUAGCUAUGUUGCAUCAAGACCCAGCCUAGCUAUUGGAUGACUCUAAUCCAGCCAAGACUAUAUUCAAAACUCUCUGUGGUCAGAUUCGAGCCGAUGCUGAGGAGAUUCUUUUUCAAGCUGCCCACCUAGAAAGUCGCCAACUCCAGUAUCAGAAAGCCACUCAAUGCCUUGCCGAUAGAGCUACUCACGCGUAGCUCAAAAAGGAAAUGCUACAAGUGAAGCAUGUUGCCGAUGAGAAGCACAAGAGUUUCUAAUCCUCAGGCACCGAGUUGAAACAUAAAAUUUCUAAUCUAUCGGACAAAAGGGAGGCUUUGUUGGCCGAACUCAAGCAGGUGGAGGAAGCUCUGCCCAAGCCCAAGAGGAGGAAUGCCAACUACCUGAUGCACUCAAGAAACUUCAGCAAGAAAGAGAUGUCCAAGCUCGCAAAGCGCUGCACAUGAAGAAGAAGCUGAAGCCGGUGGAAGGUUCUGCCGAUGAAGACAACCGCAAGAUAGAGGAGGCCAACCAAAUUCGUCUGCGCGCAAUUAAUAUCGGCCAUCCAAACCUUGUUGAACCUGUGAACUUUUCAUCGGCAGCUUGUUUAAUUUCUUUCCCAAAACUUUGAUCAUUUGGUCCAGCCGAUAGGACUGUUAUCGGCAUUUAAACUCUUUAUGCAUGGCCCCAAAUACACUUGACAUUUUUUCAGCUGACAGGAUUGUUAUCGGCACUUAAACUUUUAUGUGUUAACCUAGACACUAGGGUAAUAUCUCUUUAAAUACUUUCCAUUCAAUGCUAUGGGAAAUUCAACUCCUUCGAGAGUCUCUAAAAUAUAAGCAUUGCCAGGGCAGAUCAAUUUAUCCGAUAAGGACCCUCCCAAUUGGGAGACCAUUUUCCAAAUUUUGAGCUUUUAGUCCCAAUCAGUAGAAUCAGUUCCCACACUAAAUCCCCAUCGGCAAAUUCCUUGGCUUUUACCUUUUUAUCAUACCAUUUAGCCACUCUCUUUUUAUUCUCCUCUAUGCUGAUUAAAGCUCUUAACCAAUGCCCUGCUAAAUCAUCCAACUCAUCUUUCAUCAAAGUAGUGUAAUCAUCGGCAGUUAACUAAUCCUGAGAAAACAUUCGCCUAGAACCAGUUUUAAUUUCCCAAGGCAGUUCUGCAUCAUGUCCAUAUACCAGUUGAUAAGGUGAUACUUUGGUCGAGCCAUAACCCGCCAUCCGAUACGACCACAAGGCUUCAUUCGUUUGUUAGAAGCCUCAACCUGCCCAUUAGCUUGAGCAUAAUAAGGAGAAGAAUUCAACACUUUAAUCCCCAUACCGAUUGCAAACUCAUCAAACUCUCCCGAUGUAAACAAAGUACCUUGAUUGGUAGUAAUUGUUUGGGGAAUGCCAAAUCGGUAAACAAUAUGUUCCACAAAAUCAAUCAUGUUGGCCGAUGUUACUUUCUUCAAAGGAAUAGCCUCAACCCAUUUGGUGAAAUAGUCAGUGGCAACAAGGAUGAACUUAUGACGUUUACUCGAUGGUGGAUAAAUUGGAUUGAUGAGAUCAAUAGCCCAAUCCCAAAACGGCCAAGGUUUAAUAAUAGAAUUCAAAUCUGAUGCUGGUGCCCUUUGAAUGUUGCCAAACUUCUGACAUCCUUGACAUCCUUUGAAAUACUUGAAACAAUCCUCAAGUACAGUUGGCUAGUAAUAUCUGUUCCUUCUAAUCAUCCACUUCAUCUUAAAAGCUAAUUGAUGCGCUCCACAUACUCCUUCAUGAAUUUCACCCAUCAAGCUUUUGGAUUCAUCCUCACCUAAACAUUUAAGCAAAACUCCAUCUAUUGUUCGAUAAUACAAUUCUUAUUCAAGGAGUACAUACUUUGUAGCUCGAAACCUAACACGCCUUUCAACUUUUUCUGGAUGGAUCUUUUAAAUAAUCAAUAAUUUCUUUUCUCCAAUCAUCGGCACUGAUUGCCGAUAAUAUUUCCAAGAUGGGUUGAUAUCUAGAGGCAUGUUGAGCCAAUCGGUUAGCUUCUUCAUUAUGUAACCGAGGAAUAUGCUCUAAUCAGAAAUCCCUGAACCCUUUCAAUAAUUGAACACAUUUUUUAUAAUAUUCUAUCAAAACUUCACUUCGGCAUUCAUAAAUCCCAGCCAACUGAUUUAUAACAAGCAUAGACUCACCAAAAAUUUCGACAGCGUCAGCAUGAACCUACUUCAAUAAUUCUAAUCCUUUGAUUAGGGCUUGGUACUCAGCUUGAUUUUUUGUCAACAUAGCAAAAAUCGGUAAAGAAAACUCAUAUUUCUUCCCUUGAGGAGAAAUCAACACUAUACCGAUACCUGCCCCUUGAUCACAUGUAGAUCCAUUAAAGAAGAGCGUCCAAGGAACAAUUUCCAUAGCAUCCACUACACCACAAUGCUGAGUUACAAAAUCGGCCAUGAUUUGUCCUUUGACUGCCUUAGCCGAUUCAUAACGUAAAUCAAAUUCCGAUAAUGCUAAUAUCCAUUUGCCGAUUCUACCACUCAUAAUCGGCAUUGAAAACAUGUAUCGGACCACGUCAUCUUUGCAUAUAACAGUGCAUUCAGCCAAUAGCAAAUAAUGUCUCAAUUUGACACAAGAAAAAUACAAGCAUAAGCACAAUUUCUCAAUUGACAAAUACCUUGUCUCAACAUCCACCAAUCUUCUACUUAGAUAGUAAAUUACGCGCUCCGUCCCUUCAAAUUCUUGAAUGAGAGCUGAACCGAUGACCGUAUCAUCGGUAGACAAAUAUAACCUGAAGGGCUUUCCAGGCUGAGGUGGAACCAAGACUGGAGGAUUUGCCAAAUAAUUCUUUAUUUCAUCCAAGGCUAACUGUUGCUCUUUUCCCCACACAAACUCUUGAUCAGCUUUUAAUUUAAGCAAGGGGCUGAAAGCACGAAUCUUACCCAAUAAAUUGGAUAUAAAUCAUCUGAUAAAAUUAAUCUUGCCGAUCAAUGAUUGAAGUUCAGUUUUAUUGGUGGGAGCAACUACUUUGCCGAUUGCAUCAAUGGAUCUCCUGCUGUUUUCAAUCCCUCUUUGAUGCACCAUGAAACCUAGAAACAGACUUGCCGAUACGCCAAAUGCACAUUUAUUGGGGUUCAUUUUCAAACCAUGUUUCUUUGUGCAUUCCAACACUUUUCGCAAAUCGGCUUGAUGUUUUGUGAAAUUCCCUGACUUAACUACCACAUCAUCAAUGUAGAUUUCCGCCAACUUGCCGAUGAACUCAUGGAAAAUAAAAUUCAUGGCCCUCUGAUAGGUAGCACCAGCAUUUUUCAAGCCAAAAGUCAUGACUAUCCAUUCAAACAACCCAACAUGACCAGGACACCUAAAUGUAGUCUUGGGAAUAUCCUCCUCGACCAUGAAUAUUUGAUUGUACCCUGCAUUGCCAUCCAUAAAACUAAUAAUCCGAUGUCCAGACGUAGCAUCAACUACCAAAUCGGCAACUGGCAUUGGAUAACCAUCCAUCGGCGUGGCUUUAUUGAGAUUCCCAAAGCCAAUGCAGACACGAAGCUUUCCAUUCUUUUUAUAGACAGGGACAACAUUGGAAGUCCAUUCGGCAUACCAACAUUGCCGAAUAUACUUGCUUCAAUAAGUUUGGUUAUUUCGGCCUUAAUAUUAGGAAGAAUAUUAGGGUUACAUCGAUAUGUUGGCUGCUGAUGUGGCAAAAAUCUAGAUUUAAUAGGCAACCGAUGUUCAACAAUUGAUCGGUAUAAACCAGACAUCUCGGUAUAAUCCCAAGCAAAGCAAUCUCUAUAUUUCUUUAACAAAUCGGUUAAUUGCUGCUUACAUUCAGAAUCUAACUUAGCACUAAUAAAGGUAGGCCUUGGCUUAUCGCCAUUAACUAUAUCUACUUCUACUAAAUCAUGUGCCGAUGUAAACCCCUAUCCUAGCUUUCCAUCAUCAGCGAACCUAUCCAUUAAAACUCUUUAUCAGAACCGACUACUUGGAUCGGUGGAAUUUCAUAACCGACAACCUUGAGAAAAUCUUUCUCCCAAACCUCUCCUAAUAUGCAUCUGGUCCGCUCAUAGGUAUCUGACUCCGCUGAUGCAAUGACAUAUGAAGAAUCUCCCGAGAAAAUCUCAAUUUUGUCACCUACCCAAUGAACAAGGCAUUGAUGCAUGUAGAAGGAAUGCAACAAUUGGCAUGAAUCCAAUCUCUCCCUAGAAGUAAAUUAUAUGCACCUUUUCCACUGAUAACAAAGAAGGUCAUCAGCAAGGUUUUACUACUGAUGGUUAAUUCAACGCAUAUAGCUCCCUUAACUGGAGACACAUUCCCUUCAAAAUCAUUCAACAUCAUGUCGGUCUUGGUCAAAUCCUUAUCUCCUUUGCCAAGCUUCCGAUAUACUACAUACGGCAUAAUGUUAAUCUCAACCCCCCAUCAAUGAUUAUUUUGGACUUCGGCUGCCCAUCGACCCUGCCAUUGAUAAACAGAGCUUUAAGAUGCUAUCUUUCAUUAGCAGAAGGCUUCUUGAACAUAGCUGACAUUGGAUCAAGUGCCAACUGAGCUAUCUGGUUAGGGAGAUUUAUUUCCUCAUCAUCGCUAAAGGGUGCAAUAAAUUCCAUUAGCAACAUAAACACCAUGUUAACAUCUGCCGAUGGUCCUUUCCCCUUGUGGUCCGAUUGCUGCCGAUUUUUAGACUUAGAAGAAUUUUCCUCCCUAUUCAGCUCUUCUUGACGUUAUCGCUGCAUCCUUCUCUUCUGGGUCCUUGUUAACCCUUCUUGGCACCAUUAGAGAAGCUGUGUCCUUCGCAAUGGUUGAUAGCGAGCCUCCCUUGACUCCAUCCGAUGAGUAUUAGCAUCUCUACAGAAUAUAAAUUCAUCGGGAACCCAUGUUUUUGCCAUUUCUUCAAGUUCCUCUUGGUUUCUUGGAAAAUGACCAACACAUUCACCAAGUCUAUCAUGCACACUGAGCCUGCCCCCCAGCCGAUCAUGGACUUACAUUCUCCCUCUGAUCGGUCCAGUGAAACGCUGAUCAUUGUUUUGGAACCAUUGAUCUGGCUGAUCAUACCGAUGGUAGCCAUUGCACUCAGGACAAUCUCGUACAGUCGGCAACUUGAUGUUUUGUUCCCAGCAAUGAAUAAAGAACGGGCAAUUCCAAUGAGCUCUAUGUGGAUUCCACUCUUGCCGGCACCUUUCUUCUUCUUGGCGUCGAUCCUCUUGCUGUCGGCGAUACCGAUCUUCACGCUGUUGCCACGUUUCCCGAUGUCGUCUAUGAGUAAUUACGAUACUAGAUCGAGGAGGCUUCCCAGCGUCAUCGGUGGUUACUUGAUGCUGGGGAUCUACCGAUGCACUUCUCUCAGCCGCUUCUAAUGUUAAGACUUUGGUUUUACCUUUGGCAUCUAACAUGUUUGCAGGGAAAGAAUGCUGAUCAAUUUUCAUCACCUUCUGAGCUUUGGAAUUGUCAAACUUAAUCCUCCCAGAUUCUAUAGCCGAUUGCAACUGCUGCUUGAACACUUUGCACCCAUUUCAACUGUUGUGACGUUGCAUUAUGCCACUUGCAAUACUUGAUCUUCUUUAACUCCUCUGCCGAUGGGAUCACAUGAUUGGGUGACAAUUUAAUCUGUCCUUCUUGAAGCAAUAAAUCAAAUAUCCUAUCGGCCUUUGCGAUAUCGAAAGCAAAUUUCUCGGGUUCUUUUUGGCCAAAAGGACAGGACAUCGGCUUUUUGUUUUUCACCCACUCUGCCAAACCGACUACUGGUUCUUCAUCAGAAUCUGAACUCAUUACCUCAUCCACAAAUGAGACUUUCUUAUUCCAAGCUUUCCUAGGUUCAAAAGCCUUGAUAUCUUGAUCAGAAAUUAUCUGCACCAAAUGACUCAGACUUUCAAACUCUUGAGAAGCAUAUUUGUCUUUGAUGUGUGGCAACAAUCCCUAGAAAGCCAAAUUGGCUAACUGCCGAUCAUCUACAACCAGACUGUAACAUUUGUUCUUUACAUCCUACAACCUCUGCACAAAGCAUUCAACCAAUUCUUCAUUAUGUUGCCUCAGUCUAACUAAAUCGGUAAUCUUCUUCUCAUGAAACCCAGAGAAGAAAUAUUUGUGAAACUGCUUUUCUAGAUCGGCCCAAGUAAUAACUGAAUUUGGAGGUAACGAAAUAAACUAGGUAAAUGCCGAUCUUGACAAAGAUGAUGAAAACAAACGAACUCUUAAUUCAUCUCUGUUAGCAGCCUCUCCAGACUGGAUGAUGAAACGAUUAACAUGCUCCAUAGUUGAUGUGUCAUCUUGCCCAGAUAAUUUAGUAAAAUCUGGCACCUUUUACUGAUUUGGAAGCAGAAUCAAAUCGUAUGGAGGAGGAUACAGUGUCCAAUAAGAAUAAGUAUUGACCUUUGGUUUUAUUCCAAACUAAUCUCUCAUAACUUCUGCUAUCUUAUCUGUCCAAUAGGCAUCGGCAUCCUGCCGAUGUGCAGGUUGAAGUUCUGGUACCUGCUAAUAAGGUUCCACAUGUCUCUGGGGUACACGAUCUCCAGGAAACAUAACAUUGGCCAUAGCUUGCUGACCACCAAUUUGCUGAGCUAGAUUCUUUAGCUGAUUGGCAGGUCCUUGAUUCUAAAAACCAACCUGCAUCUGUCCUUGCUAGAAUCUCACAGCUUGAUGAUUCUGUUGUGUCACAUGUGGAAAGACAAACUGCCCUGUCCAUCCAUUGUUAGCAUUCAUCGGCGCAGGCCCUGCUGAUGGCUGAUAAUUGACUGUCAUUGCUGGGUUGACAUACCCUGUCUAAGUCAUAAAUCUCUGUUGCAUCGGCAAUGGAUCUGCCGAUGAAUUUGCGUUAGGCAUCUGGAAUGUAGGCAUUGGAAAAUUCCCCAUAUCAGGCCUUGUAGUAGUAGUUGUAGAGUACUGGGGAAUCUGAGUCAUCGGCGAAACUGGAGGUGCCGAUGUCUUAGGAGCUUUUCCUACUAAGUCAGCCACCUAAGCUAUUCUAGAACUAUUUGCAAAAAAAUCCGGAGGCAUACCAUAUCCCCACCAAUUGGGAGGAACUUGACAAUUCAGAUCCGGGCAUUGCCGAUGCCGAUAGAUCCGUAUUGAGUUGAACCCGUCCCUCUGAUGCUGCUGGAUUAGUUUUCAUCAGUGUAGACUGCCCAUUAGUCAUCCCUAAUGUGCUUGGAGGAGAAGUAACUUCUAUACCCGCAACGGCCGGAGGAGCCGAUGGAGCCGUGACCGAUGACAACCCAGGCUGGUGAUAGGCUGGGCCAACAUAUAAUGGUGGUGUCUGUCCUUCUUUAAAAGUUCGAGCCAUGGCAUUGUAGACAGUAUUAUACAACACACUAGAUUGAUUUAUCAAAGCACGAUUAAUAGCAUUGUCAACCAUGUCUUGCAAUUUACGAGGAUUGGCUUCAAAAGUAAUCUGCCGAGGCAUCAGCAGUUCUUGCUUCUAGAAUACUUCACCGCUCCUGUUGACGCUGAAGGAUCUCAAAGCAAAGUUGCUUGUACUCCUCCAUAGCCCUCGCCAUAGCCUACUUCUCCUCGUCCCUGAGAUCAGCUUUUGUGACAGCAAUGACGUUCUCCGUAUCGAGCUCAGUAGUAGCCAUGUUGAUCUUGUUGGUAGAUUUGUCCCACCGGGUGUGCCAAAAGAUGUGUUGAUGCAAAAGUAGAUCUGCAAACACAAAGGGCUAAUACCCGAUUCAAAUGUUGAGGCAUGCCAGCUGAUUUGACCUUACAAUCGAUAAAGGUGAUAACUCGAAUACUUUGGUCCCGACAACAGCGAUGUGCCCGGAUGCCACGGCCAAAAGGUAUUCACACGGAACUCGAGAACUCAUCGAGUAUGACUUGAUGAAUACUUAACAACUCGUAAGUAAAAGAAAAUAUGUAAGUUGACGAAGUCAUCGAAAAAGUAGACACAAAAGUAGACGUAAAACUUGUGUAUAGUAUUGAUUGAUUGUUCUCUUACAUUGCUGCUAGGCCCAUAUUUAUACUCUUCUCUAAAGAGUUACAAUCGUAUAUGACUAGGAUCUAAUUCUAAACCAAAUAGGAAUCAUACAUAAAACAAACUCUAACAACUAUGGAAAACAACAACCUAUUUGUCUUUGCGAAUCGGCACACCACCAUUGCCUUCUUAGCAACUCCCAUGUCUCCCUUUGUUGUCAUCGGCAUAUUCCCUGCAUCCUUUCAUAAUCAUCAGCACACUCCUCUUCAUCAGCGUCGGCAAUCAUCAAUACCAGCAAUUGGCAUUACUCAACAACCAUCACCAGACUCAGCAACAUCUUCUUCCUGUUGUCCUAUCACCGGCAAUGCUGACCAUCGGCAAUUAUUCUAUCGGCCACGCACAUCACUUCUUUGACUACCGAUACUGACUACCCUGAUUCGUGUCCAAAAACGGUGUCAAUAAUUGUCCUCUAUUUUCUUUGCAACUCUUUUAUAGCUUCUGCAACUUCUUCUGGUGUUUUGUCCUUCUCUAUCUUUGCUAUAUCUUGCUUUGAUAAUACAAAUUUGUGUAUAUUUUCUUGCAACUUGAUAGGGCUCAGAUAACCGACCAUCGAUCCGGCAGAUAGUAAUGACCUCUACUCGUGAUCUUGCAAACUACAGACAACAUCUACAUAUUAGAGUUUCACACUACAUAUUAAUAAUAAUUGUGUGUGCAUGAGUGAUACUUAGAGGCACUAGAUUGUUAUGAGUUGGACGUCAAGCCACCUAUAGUUCGACAACAAGUGCAUGUCCUCGAAGGUAACAAAUGCCUUGCUUUUUUCGUUACCAGUAGCAAACACGUCUACUGGUAUAUCAACUCUGAUUGCAUGGAGGUCAGCAUGCACUGCUCUCAUGUACCAGUCAUGAAACCUUUUUAUCGUCCAUUGAAUCUUACCAAGCAGCGUCCAUUGGAGCGUAGGACUUCCGAGCACAUAGUCACUGGGGACAUUGACUUAAUCAUCAAUCGUUGGCUUUCUAAUAUCAUUUAGGGUCAAUGGUUGACUUGAUGGCUGUUCGACAUGUACAUCGCCACUUGGGGCUUCCUUUGAUGGGGGCAUGGCUUCUGUUGACUAGGCGGCAGCUUCCUUUUUCUGUGAUGGUUUGAGCUCAGUGAGUCGUGUCGUCCGCUGCUUUCCAAGUCCUUUCAGAAAGAGAGCUAUGCCUGCUGCUUUCCCCUUUUUUGGCUCAUAGGGAGAAAUCAAUUUUGGAAUUGGAAAUUUAUUCACCUUCUUAGAGGCCGGUGCUAAUGGGGGAGUUUGCUCAUCUUCCUUCUACUUUGGAGGUGGUGGGGGAGUUUGCUCAUCCUCCUUCUCCUUUGGAGGUGGUGGGGGAGUUUGCUUAUUCUCCUUCUCACGUGUUGUGUUCUCCUUGGAUGGCAGAGUCUGCUGCUUAGGGAUGUUCUCCUUGGCUGGCCCCUCAGGCUCAUUCUGCAAGAAUGCCAUCUCAUGUAUUGGGGAGGAUGGUGGUGGCUCGUAAAUGUAUGGGGAUGCUGGAGCAUGCAUUGGCAAUGGUGGCUAUUGAUAUGUUUCGGCCUCUUGAGAUGGUUGAGGCACUAUGCUUGGAGAGGGUGGCGCUGGUGGGCCAACCCCUUAUGUUGGAGCAGAAACCAGAAGCAACUUUUAAAUUCUUCAACCACACACACGUUGCAUGUUUCUCCUCUCUGUUCAGGUUGUAGCUUGCUGCCGGUAGCUGGUACUUCCCAUUCUCUAGGAGUAUAGGGUGAAGUUCUUUUUUGAUCUUCAAAUGUUGCAUGCCGAAACGUGAAUUGAGACCUUCCUUUGUCUUGCUCUUUAUGUCUAGGAAGGUUCCAAUUACGCUUUUAAACACACUGUUCUGAACAUGCAUACCAUCGACCGCAUGUCGUACGUCCAAGUUUUUCCAGUAGAAUAAGUACUUGAAGAAAAUGGACUUCUUCUUGAAUGUGUCCCCUUAAUUUGCCUUCACAACCUUUCUUCGUUUCCCAUGUUUGGUCUUCUUUCCAAAAAUAAACUUCACAUUCUCAACUAUCUUGUACACUCUAUGCCCUUUACUACAACCUGAUGGAGCAGUAGAUUUUGAUUCAUUAAUAUUGUUGAAGUACUUAUUCAUCUUUUGUAAGUUGUACUUAUGGCCUGCCGGUAGCCAUCUUCUAUGCCUCAUGUACACUAUCUUGUUGGAUGCAGGAAGAGACACGUGCCAUGUUCCAUCCAUGCACUCUACACAACCAACCUUUCCCUUGAACUGACCUGAUAAUGAGAAGAGAGCAGGGUAAUCAUUAAUUGUGACAAUAAUAAUUGCUCUCAGUGUGAAUGUCUCUUUGCGGAACACAUCGAUCAUGUCCACACCUACUUCCCAUAGUGUUUGCAUGUCUUGCAUUAAGGGCUCUGGAAAUACAUCCAUAUCAACUCCAGGUUGUGUAGGUAUAUAAAUAAGAAUGGUUAGCGAAAGAUAUUUUCUCCUUUGACAUAACCAUGAAGGAAGGUUGUAUAUUGUCAGGAAUUCAGGAUCAUCGGCCAUGUGUUGUGCGUGCUACUCCUUUCACCAAAUGGAUUCACUCCAUCAGUACUCAGUGCAAACCUUACACUCCUUGGAUCGUCAGCAAAGUCUGGAUAUUUCUUAUCGAAAUCUUUCCAUUGCUUUGCAUCAGCUGGAUGUCGUAACUUUCCUUUCAUCUGAAGCAUGCCGGGUCAUAAGUUCAGCGUCUUCAGGGUUUGCAAACAAACACCUCAAACGAUCAACCACGGGGAGAUACCAUAUCACCAAAGCAGGAAUUCUUCUCAAUGCAUAAUAGUCCACUUCUUCAUUGCUACUAGGCUUUGAGCAUUUGUCUUGUUGAGUCUUUGUUUGGGUCUUCUUUCGCUUCCUCCCUGUAGAAAUAGAGGCUAGAUUCUCUUCCUCCCGAUAAUCAUUGUUCGUCUUGUACCUACUGUCACCAUAGUUUGGACAGUUGUCUAAGUCUUUAUACUGAUCACCCUGAUAUAGAAUACAAUGAUUUCUACAUGCGUGGAUCUUCUCAACACCUAUUGUAAGUGGACUAACUAGCUUCUUUUCAUAGUACAUGUUAGCAGGCACUUUGUUCUCCUUAGGAAGAAGGUCUCCAAGUACACACAAGAAAUCAUUGAAGCUAGCAUCGGACCAACCAUGUCUAGCCUUCAUCGUUAAAAACAGAAGAACAACAUGUAAUGUCGACCACUGUUUGGUACAACCUUUCGACUCGUCAUACAAAGUGUCCUCUGCUUCCUUCGUCAAUGCUUCCAUUCCCUUCAUGAAGAAUAUUAAUGGAUCUACACAACGGUUCAUUAUUGCCUCUAAGAAAUCUGCAUCUUCAACAGCAUGUGUGUUAGCAUGCUGAGUUUCAUUGACAUCAGACGUAUGAGUUUGAUUGACAUCUGGCACAGCAUGAUGAGUUUCAUUGACAUAUGGCAUAGCAUGACAUUCAUUGAGAGGUGGCAUUGGACCCUCCACAUUGAUGUUAGUUGCAGUGUUGUCAGUUGUCCACAUAUAAGGUGCAGAACUACCCUCACCAUGUUUUGUCCAAAUCAAGUAGUCCUCCAUAAAUCCUCUGCAAACCAGAUGGGAAGUAAUUGCUUCUACAUUGUCAAAUACCACAAUAUUUUUGCAGUCUGCGCAUGGACAACAUAUGUUCUUCGCCUUUGUUCUGCGAGCAUGUAUCUUUGCGACAUCUAUAAAUUUUUGGACCUCCACUACAUAUGAUGGGUCCAAUCUUGAUAAGUUGUACAUCCAUAAUGACCUCUCCAUAUUUAGCUAUAAUUAGUUAAGAACAAUGUAGGUCAAUCUAAAAACAAAACUAAUACAACCCUUGAAAAUAGUCUUAACUAAGAUGCUAAUCUCCUUCUAUUAAAUGGAGAUGAAACCUACCCCUUACAGAGUUUACAAUUUAUAGAAUUUAAAUAAUUGUUUAAACUCAUUUUCAUAAUUAUAAGAAACAAUUGUAUAAAAUUUAGGAAUAAUUCAAGGAUUUCUAAGAUAAUCUUUACUUUUUAAUCAAACAUGCCUUAAUAUAACCAUAUUUCAUAAAUUUACACCCAAAGAUUUGAAAAAGUAUUUAUUUGCCAUUUUAUGAUUUUCAACAUUUUAAUGUAUGAAUUUAUAAAGUCUAAUUCAUCUAAAAAAAAGCUAAAACUGAAUCAAAAUUAUAAACUUCAAAAUGUCCACAACACUACUCUAUUGCAUAGAUCUACUCACAAGAAUUCUAAAAAGUAUUUAUUUUCUAUUUUUUUAAUUUUAUACAAUUUACUAUGAAUUUACAUAAAAAUUUAGCUAAAACUCUGUCUCUUGCCCUAUGAACCCUAACCCUAAGCAAGAAUGUAUGAUGAACUCUAGAUCUAGAGCACAUGCAAUACAAGAAUUGAACCAAAGAAUCACUAAAAAAAUAGCAUCAAGGGCACUAACUAACCUUUUGGAAGUUUCUCACCAAAGAAAUGAAGAUCAAAACCUCCCCCUUGGAAACUGGAAUCGCCUGGUCCACCAGUGUGCAGAGCUCACAGGAGUAACUGUUCAUGUCUAAAGGUGGAUGAAGGGCAUUUAUACCAAUCUUAACACAGGUGGCUCAUAAAGUGGGGGUUCUCUAUCAAACCGCCUUGAUAAUGGAAACCUCCCCCCUUGAUAAUUUAUGUAAAUAAAUUCUCACAGGCGGUCCUCUAUACAAACCGCCUGUGUAAAAAUGCACAUUUACAUAGGCAGCCUAAUUACGACAUCUGCCUAUGUUAAUGGUAUUGACACAGGUGGUUGGUAUCGUAAUCCGCCUGUGUAAAUGGACAAUUUACACAGGCAGUUGAAAUAAGAAAACCACCAGUGUAAACUUGUUUACAUAGGCGGUUCGCUUGUUGGGCCUGUUGGGUAUUCUUAACAUCACUACCGAAAGUGGACUUAAUUUUCUAAUUCUAGUAACAGUGCCAAAAAUGCCAAACCUAUCCCUCACACCACUUAAGCCAAGUUGUCAUCCCCAGCAUGACAUGAGAGACGCGGUAUUGAAAUAUGCAAUUGCUCUUCUAAAUAAAUAAUGAAUGGGAUCUACAAGCGCACAGAUUAAUACCGAUGUAGCAUUUUAACCGGGAAGUAUUCCAGGUAUCGUUAUUUAUAUUUUUACCACUGUAAAGGGAUUAACAAUCAUCAAUAUUGAUUACAUAAUAGAAUAUGAGAUUAAGUAUCUAUCAUUGCAUAUAUAAUUGAGAACAUUUAUCUAACUCUUUCGUACAGGGAUAAGUGUCACAUAAAAGAUAUAUGAAAUAAUAAAUAGUGACAAAGAUAAUUAAUCUGAUCAUAACUUAGCCACAUAAUAAAUAUGAUAAGUACCUCAAUUAGAUACUCUAGAAAGUCAUUAGCAUGGUAUUAGAACGAACUACAAGAAUAUUUCCUAAGUUAUUCUCAACUAUAUAGUCUAGCAUUAUCAUAGUUAGUGCAAGCAUACUUAGCAAUCAUUGCGAGACAAGACUACGCCCAUGCAUAGUGAUAUUAGCAAGGUAAAUGAGAAACAUAGCAAUCACUCCCCUGUAAUAAUGUUGGUCUGCCAGCCCAAUACACGAGAGGGGGACUAUAUAAGAAUCAAUGAAGCUGUCACUAUCACGAACUACCCCACGAUCUGACAUAUUGGGUACAAUCGCAGAUAAAUACGGUAUAAGCACCACGCAUACACGAUAUCUAUCAUUUACCCAUGAAUCCGAUGGAUAAACGCUAUACGAUCCUAAGCAUGUAUAUAAAUCCAAUCUAACUAAGCCAAGUAUAUAACUAUGAUAAACUAAGAACAAUAUAAUCUUGAAUAUAAACAAGUAGAGCAAAGUCAUAAGCAAUAUAUUGAAGUAGAACAAAGUCAUAUUCAUAAUAUUGAAGAACAAAGAUAAUUAGAAGAACAAUUAGAAGCACAACUAGAGAAUUACCAAGAAUCCUCUUGACAGAUCCGGAAACCAAUCGAAGAUUGAAUCCUUCAAGUUGUAAUCCUAUGUAGCUAUGCUAAUCUAGAUAUCUAAUUGAUGUGGUGGCUCUAAUCUUGAUCAGGGGCUUCUUUUCCCUUGAGGAAUAAUGAAUUAGGGUUGAGAGGCUCCCUCCUCCAGGGGCCAGGGGUUCUGGUUUUAUAGUCCCUUCAAGUGAAUAUGGGCCAUUGGAUCAAACCGACAUUGAUUGAACGGUUAUCCUUGAUCCUUUAGGUCGGUGGAGAUCUCCCGAGAAACAGAGUCCUGAUUGGCCUCCAAGUCAGGGCGGGCGCCCAGGGCAGGAGGGCGGGCGCCCUGCCUCUGGCCCCGUUCGGCCACCGCUUUCUUCCCGUGGCUUCUGGAGUCUUCUAGAUGUAAGAUAAUUGCGCGGUACGUUAAUAUCUCUAUGUAAUCCCAACGUGUGGGCCUUUCUUCCGUAUUUCCUGAUAACCCCCUGCACAAAAAGACAAACACCAAAACUCGUGGAAUUCUGUCAGAUAAAACCCUAAGUCUAGAUGUUGAUUUCAUUUAGAUCCUUUUCUUUGUUUAUUUGAUAAUUAAAUUUGAUACUUAAGGACUGUCAACAAACUCCCCCAAGCUUACCUGUUGCUCGUCCCUGAGCAAGGAUAGAUUAGAAGUUGCUGCAAUACUUUUAAAAAUUGAUGGUACACAUGCUUUUAAAUAAGAUCUCAUCUCUGAGUUAGAGUAAACUGUCAAGACUUAAAACUUAUUCAUUAUACCUUUCACCAUGGGACUUGUAACCGUCACUUCUGUCUUGAGUAGUUAAAAGAUAGAACAGUCUAGUCAAGUGCCAUGUCUCUUAUUCUUGAUCAGCUAUAGCUCUAGAGUUUUUGCAGAUUUUCAAAUAAAACUCAGAGAUUCCUUGUAUGACUCUCUCAGAUCUCUCUUUUGUGGUAUUUCUGGAUCCUUACCAAUGCAUUGAUAGUAUAUGCCUUCUCUCAAAAAGUAUGUAGUAUUUGUGGUAUAAAGCAUAGUGACAUUGUCUUCUCUCUCACCCUACUCUAAUAAGGCUUUAAUAUCUGGAGCUCAUAGGUGGGAGAUAAAGUAUACAUACUUACAAGACAUUUAUUGCAUAGUCAAACCAUGGAUCCAAAGAAAUAAGUCAAUAAGUUUAAUCAAGAUGUGCAUGUGUGGCGAAUGAAUGGUAUAUGGUAAUGAUGGUGAUAACAAUGGUGAAAGUCUAGAUCUACUUUUGCUCUUUUAAGGGGGUACAUACCUUCUUUGCUUUUUGAAACUUUAUGAGGAGAAUGAGAUGCUCUAUAUUUUUCUUUUCUCUCAGGUGGGUAUCUUGUACCCCUAAUUCUACUGUCGGACACUUGUCCAUUUUUACCUCUCGUUUCACUUUUCUUUUCUUUCGAGGUUUCGAGCACUUGCCCCUUUUUAUUUCCUCGUAUCUUUUUUCUCUUUUUUUAGAGCACUCAUCUCUUGAGAUAAUGUAGCAAGUGGUAGUAACAAGAUAACUUAAGUAUUUAUUUCACAGGGAAAAACAGAAAUAUUUUUGGCUAUUCUCUCCCGGAUUAGGAGUAGAAUAUUUUUAGAUGGUUCCGGAGAUGAAAAUGGGUGGAUAUAUGUGGAUGGUACUUCCGGAGUAGAAGUAGCAUAUAUGAGUGAACGUGCAAGUGAAAUCUUGAUUUUAACUACAUGACAAGCUCCUAAGGGUCUACACAGCUUGACCACACUCAAUGCUCAUAAGCAGUAAAUAGUAAAUGUGUGGCUCAAAGUCUAGCAAGCAUUUAUAUAUGGUUGUGGUAGGAAUUUAAACUCUCAGCAUACAGGAACUCAUCAUGCCGCAUUUUAAAGAUUUUUAAAGAUAAAAUUCUCUAGAAUUCUAGCAUCUCUAGGAACAGAUAAAUAGCAGCUCAACCUUCCCAUAUCGUAUCCAUUAACAACUUAGACUUCAGAUCAAGUUUUCAUCCCACAAUUUAGGUCUAGAGCAAGCUUUAAAUUAUAACAGUUAUAUCUAAACUUGAGAGAGAACUUAAAAUGUGCAAAUUAGGCAGAGCAACUAUUCAUCAUAUCCAUGCUAGAGUUUUAUUUAGAUACAGCUUAUCAUAGCCACUUUAUUUAUUUAUUAAACACACUAAGAAAAAUAUAUAAGCAUAAAAUCUUUAUUUGGUUUUUUCAUAGUUAUGUAUAUUUAUAUUUUAAUAUAGUAUAAGUAUAAAGAUAGAUAGAUAGAAAUACUUAUCGGGAUAAAUGGGGGUGCUCUCCCCCAAGCUGAAUUUUGACGUAAUUUCUCUUGAUGUAGCUAGCAGGUGGCAGAGGUGUAUUUGAAAGUCAGCAGCAUUCUGACAUGAAUGUCCUCCAUCUGCUAGUCUUCUUGAUUCUUGAAUUCUGUGGAGCUCAAAUAGACAACAAAGCUUGUGGAACUGAUUAAGUGUUAGCAUAAAUAUCUAGCCUUUAUCAUGUUGAGUCUCCUUAAUAAUUAUUACUCUCUAUUUUUUUAUAUUUUCAUUUUAUAAAGUAGAAAAGAAAUAUUUAUUUUAUUUUUAUGCCACCAUAGUGAAUGUACUUAUGGGUUUUAUGCCACUCGUAUACUCACAUGGAGCUUACUAUUUUUUAACAUUUUUAUUUUCUUUUUAGGAUAAUAUGAACAUAAUUAACUAAGUAAUCUAGUUGAUAUAAUUGAAAGGGAAAGGAUAACUACCAAGUUUACCUCUUGGCAAGGCGUUCGGUGUUUUUAAGUCCUCCAAACGGGACUCUCUAUUUUCUCAAUUGUCCUGGGAUUCGUUGGGUGGCGGAGUCAGUACUUCCGGUGGCGCCUCCUCUUCAUGUAUAGUUAUCUUCUCUUUCCAUACCUGACUCAGUGCCAUGGUCUCCUCUGGAUAAUUCUGUUUAAACUCUACGUCUUCUGACCUUACCACUUCUCCUUCAUAGUAUGCCCAUCCAUCCUUGAUGAUCUGCCUCCUCUGGUUGCGGUUGCGUCGUUUUCUAACCUGCUUAGAUUCUUCAAAGAUGUAGUUAGGGUCAGUAAAAUUACGGCGUACCUUCUCUGAGGGGAAGUGCAUAUGGACUUCUCCGGUUCCAAUGUAGAUGAUUGCUUUAACGGUGCUGAGGAACGGUCUUCCAAGGAUGAUUGGUGGAUCGUACUCGUCUUCUCCCAUGUCAAUAACCUGAAAGUCUGUGUAGACAAAGUGAUCGUCUAUCUUGACAGGGACAUCAGUUAAUGUUCCUUUAACUUCUCAAAACGUCUAAUCUGCCAUCUGGAGCUGAAUGUAUGUUGGUUUUAGGGGCAUGGUUCCGAACAAGAGCCGAUAUGUGACUGCGGCCAUUAUGUUGACGCCUGAUCCGGUGUCACAAGUCAUUUGUAGAAGCUGUAUCCAUUUAUGGAGCAAUAGAUGCUUGGCAUUCCUGGGUCAUCCUUCUUGGUCAGAAACGGUGACUUAAGUUGGUGAUCUUGGCCUCCAUGAACUACAGUGACCAUCUUAGCUGACUCGGUCCACACUUGUUUGUUCCUGUUCCUCCUGUUGGUCCUCUUCCUUGACUCACGUCUGGAUUGAUCUGGGAUCGGUGUAGUCUUGUUCUUGAAGAAAAACGUCUCCUUCCUCCCUUUAUUGUAGAAACUGAUCUUGGCAGCACUGGCAUAGAUGACAGCUCCCGAGGUGUUUAAGAAUGGCCUCCCUAAGAUGAUAGGUGCUCUCUCAUCAUUACCGGUCUCUAUCACCACGAAGUCUGCUAGGCCAUAUAAGGUACCAACUCGGACACAAAGGUUCUUCAAUAUUCCUUUUGGAAAACUUAAUGCCUGAUCUGCAAACUACAAACACAUGGUUGUUUCUAAUAAAGGAUAUGUAAAGAAUUUUUCAUAGAGUACCCUGGACAUAAUGUUGACGCUGGAGCCAAAGUCACAGAGUGCUUCUGGGACAUCCACCAUGCCGAUGGAGAUCGGGAUGACGGGGCGUCCUGGAUCGCCUCUCUUGACCGGCAGAAGGUCAGUAGUGAAUUCAGUGACGGGGUUACUCCAAUUACCUGCAUCAAACAUGUCUACAAGAUUUGCAGAUUCUAAUCCUUCCGGUUGUGAUGGUAUACCAGGGUUAGUAGUAGGAACAGCAGCAGCUAUUUGAUUUAACUGAGAUUCAAUCAUUUUAUUAAAGCUAAUUUGAUUCUUGAUGGCAGUAGAGAAAUUAUCCAUUCUGUUAUUUAUAUUUUCUAGCAUUUUAUCAUUAGAUGCCAAUUUCUUAGAUAGAUUAUCCAUUAGCUUUCCUUGAUUAGACACUAACUCUCUCAAAGGUGGAAAAUUAUUAUUAUUGUUGUAAGAAUUGUUACCUUGAUAAUUACCUGAGUAGUUAGGCCUCUGUUGAUUCCAACCUUGAUUUUGUUGAGGACGGUUGUAGUAGUAGUUGUUGUUAUUGUUGAUGUAGUUCACAUCCUCAAGUAUCUCAGGGCAGUGAUUGCCUGAGUGUCUAGUAUCUCCACACUCCUCACAAGUCAUGUGAGAGUCGUAGAUGUGCAUAACUUCUUUCUUAUCUCCAGUUCUAUCAUCGAGCUUCUUCAUGAGCAGGUCUAGCUUUGCAGACAGCAUGUCUACCUCCUUGAGCUGAUGCAUACCUCCACCUCUCUUGUGUGUUUGGGUCCUUUCUUCAUUCCAGCCUUGAUUGGACGCCAUCUUCUCCACAAGAGCUGUGGCUUGUGGUAUAAUAAGUGAUAAGAAUGCUCCUCCAGCUGCAGCAUCCAUGGUCUCUCGGGCACUGUUGCUGAAAACUUGUAAUCUUCCCACGGAGAGCAUUGGUCUUGCCCGUGGGAAAGAAUUUAGCCAGGAACUUUGUUGAGCAGAGUGCCCACGUAGUAUUCUUCUCCUUUGUAGCGUAGAACCACUACUUCGCUCUUCCUAACAGUGAGAAUGAGAAGAGGCGAAGUAGUAUAGCAUCUAUGGGGACUCUUGAUAUAGUAAAUGUGUUGCAAAUCUCCAGGAAGUGUUGGAGAUGAGCACUAGCAUCUUCGUGUGCCUUCCCACAGAACUGGUUGGAUUGCACCAUGUUGAUAAGUCCAGGCUUGAGCUCAAAGUUGCCGUCGAUAUAUAUGGAUGGUACUUCCGGAGUAGAAGUAGCAUGUAUGAGUGAACGUGCAAGUGAAUCUUGAUUUAACCACAUGACAAGCUCCUAAGGGUCUACAAAGCUUGACCACACUUAAUGCUCAUAAGUGUUGACGGUCCUUAAUGCUCACACUUAACCAUCAACUAAUCAUGGAAAAGGAUCCAAAUGCAACCAACACCUAGACUUAGGGUUUUAUCUGACAGAAUUCCACGAGUUUUGGUGUUUGUCUAUUACUGCAGGGGGUUAUCAGGAAAUAUGGAAGAAAGGCCCACACGUCGGGUUUACAUAGAGAUAUUGACGUGCUGCGCAAUUUUCUAUCAUCUAGAAGACUCCAGAAGCCACGGGACCGAAGCGGAGGCCGAGAGGACACAGGGACAGGGCGCCCGCCCUCAGCCAGAGUCCAAUCAGGACUCUCUUUCGGGAUAUUGCUCCACCGACCUAAAGGAUCAAGGAAAACCACACGAUCAAUGUCGGUUUGAUCCAACGGCCCAGAUUCACUUGAAGGGACUAUAAAACCAGACCCCCCUGGCCCCUGGAGAUCAUACCUCUUCUACAGAAUCAAAGUUAGGGUUUCAAUUCUUCAUCCAAGUAGAGAGGAUCCCUCUAGUUCUUCUAGUUCUACCUCUAGUUCAUCUAGAUCUAGUUCUAGUUCAUCUAGUUCUAGUUCUAGUUCUUCUAGUUCUAGUUCUAGUUCUAGUUAGUUCUAGUUGUAAUCUAGAGAAUAGGGAGAGAGAAGAGGAGAGCGGAGGAGGAGCCGGAUCUGUCGGAUCUUCCUCAACAUUAUACUUUUGCAGCAUCUGGUUCGUUCUUCAUCGUUCUCCAGGUUCUUCAAUUCAUAAUUCCUGAGUUCUUUAAUUACUUUUAUUUACAUUCAAGUUAUUUAUUGGAUUCCCGCUUGCAUCAAGUGCUCUAGUCUUUGUAACGCUAGAGUAGUAAUUAAUAGAUUAGACGUGGUGUUUAGUUUUGCAAUUACCUGGAAUUGCACCCAAUCCUGCGGAUUGUUGUGGUAGCCUUAGGGUAGUGACAGCCCUAACGGUCGACGUAUUCCACCACGUUCGGAUCGGUGUUUGUAGGACCGUAGUCAGACCUUCCUAGCCCCCUUCUCAUCUCUUUCUGUGGUUAGUGCUCUGAUGUCCCGAUAUAGAUAAUCUUGAAGUAAUUCUUGAUUCUUAGAUCAACUAGAGAACUCUCAGGAAACUUCCUCUCUUCCCACCAAAAAUAAUUAUAUAGUUAUCCUUGGGCGAUCUUGAUUCUUAAUUAGUACACUCACGUUCUCUGUGGAAAAUCGAUACUCUGGAAUACUCCCGGGUGAAAGCUACAUCGGUAUCCGUGCGCUUGCGGAUUUUUCUGUUUGCGUUUAAAAUACCCAACAAGCUUUCUGGCGUCGUUGCCGGGGAACGGUAGCUGUGCUAGUUUCGAACCAAGUCGUCCGUGUAUCCUUUUUAUUUUCCUUUUUUACCACACUCACCAUAUCAUUUUCACCAUACCACAUGGAUUUCACUCUAAGCAUUAAUGAGCAUGGAAUUUAUUUCAUAGCCACUUCAUUUACUCCAUGCUCAUAUGCAACAUCUUCACAAUCCAUUGGUUUUUCCAACAUCACCACAUUCGAGAUCUCCAACCCCCUCAUCCUUUCUAUUUAUAAAAACUUUAAAAGGGCGGUUGUCGAUGCAUAUGUCUAUAAUAAAUUUUGCAGAUCUCGUUGAGUUGAUCUUGAUAUAGGUCAGCGUUGGAGGGGAAACCACUUCACUGACAUAAAUUGAUGGUUUCCCAAGGACAAGCUUAGUGUCCUAAAACAAGCACUGAUCAGAUCGUAACAUAAGUUUUUAAUUAUUUGCAACACUACCUUGUGUAUUGAGCAUAUAAGGAUAAUUGUAAAAAAAAAUUCCUUCGGGUUUUCUUGUCACUAACCUUUCUAGGAUUGGAGCAAGAAGAUCGGAUGAAUGACAAGCACAAGGUAUGUACAACCAAUCAUCAUACAACAUUGAAUUAAAUUCAUCCAAACUUGAAAUUUGCAAAAUUCAAGCUUGGGGGAGUGCUUUAUAUAAAAACAUCAUUUGCCAUGUUGCUAUGUUGGUUGUCCCUACCUUUGAGACAUGCUCAAUUUGUUAAAUAGUAAUCACACUACUUCAUCUCCACUUGAGUAGAUCUCUAUAAAUGCUCUCAUGCGACCUUUAUUUGCUUUAGUAUAUGUCUAGGUUUGGAGUAGUUUCAUUUAUCUCUUAAUUAAGCAUGGUGCUUAGUUUAGGAAUGAUGCUCUUACUUCCAAGGGGUUUUAAAUUAAGCAUGGUGCUUAGGUUAAAAUGCCCUCCUAAAUCAAAUUAGACAUGGAGUCUAGUUUGGUUAUUGAACUAAAAACUGCUUGUGUAGACAUUGGUAUAUUUUGUUGGACUAACCCCUGCAGGAAAACUUUCAAUAUCGACCUGGGAAGUCCUGAGAUAAACUCACAUUGGAGACAAAGAGAGACACACAUGAAGUUUAAUAAUUUACACAAGGAAGGCAUAGCUCACAAGAGAUGAUCCAUGGAGGUGCCACAAACACGAUGCACAACCGCUAAGAGAGGAAAGCUUCCACAAGGUGAUACUGUACCACCAUUCUUCAAGUAAGGUAACAUUUUAAGGUACUUGACUAUCACUUCUAUAAGCUUCUCCUUGGUUCUGGCAUUCACAUGAAUAAAAGAGACAAACAUGUAUGAUUUACAACUCUAGAUUAACCAACCCAAUCGAUUCAACAUGUUUAGUCCUUCCACCUUUGUGAUCCCAUACUCCUAAUAUGAGCUAAAAUGUUGCACAUGCAAUCUUUGGAAGAUAUAUAAAAAGAAGAUAAGUAUAGAUAGAUUAUCUUUCCAUUAGGUUGAGUAAUCUAAUCUGACAAAUGUUUUAAAUGCUACACUCAUGAUCUUAUUAUCCAUCAACUUUGUUUUGCUCACUAUGCUUAAGGAUAGAGAAGAAUAAAUACACUUUUGGUUCUGUUGGUGUUUUUCACCAACAGGGCCCAUGCACUUGAUCUCUGCCUUGUCUCUAUGAGCAGGUACACUUUGAGCAAAAUAUGAAGGACUUUUACAACUCCUAGACUCCACCAAGUGAAGAACCUAGAUCUACAAGCACAAACACACUGGAGAUACUGGACACUCAUGCAAACACUGCCCUAAGAUGCUUGAGGAUGUAACUACUGGAGUAACCCCGUUGUGGAAAUAAUUACUGACCUUCUGCCGGUCAAGGGAGACAAUCUAGGAGGCCCCGUCAUCCCAAUCUCCAUCGGCAUGGUGGACUUCCUAGAAGCACUCUGUGACUUUGGCUCCAGCGUCAACUUUAUACCUAGGGGAAGCCAUUCCUGAACACCUCGGGAGCUGUCAUCUACGCUAGUGCUGCCAAGAUCAGUUUCUACAUCAAGGGGAAGAAGGAGACGUUUUCCUUCAAGAAACAAGACUACACAAAUCCUAGAGCAAUCCCGACAUGAACCAAGGAAGAGGACCAACAGGAGGAACAAGAACAAGCAAAUGUGUACCGAGUCAGCUAAGAUGGUCACUGCAGCUCAAGGAGGUCAAGAUCGUCAACUCAAAUCACCUUUCUUGAUCAAGAAGGACGACCCUGGUGUCCCAAGCAUCGAGUGCACAAUCAACAGAUAUUCUUUUCAGAAGACACUCUACGACACCGGAUCUAACGUCAACAUAAUGGCCGCAGUCACUUAUCAGCUCCUAUAUGGAACCAUGUCCCUACAACCAACAUACAUUCAGCUUCAGAUGGCAGAUCAGACAUUCUGAAAGAUUGAAGGUUAUUGACAUGGGAGAAGACGAGUACGAUCCACCCAUCAUCAUUGGAAGACCGUUCUUUAGCACCAUUAAAUCAAUCAUAUACAUUGGAACCAGAGAAGUCCACAUGCACUUCCCCUCAGAGAAGGUACGCCACUGUUUUACUGACCCUAACUAUAUAGUUGAAGACUCUAAGCAGGUCAGGACAAGAAGACGACGACGCAACCGCAACCAGAGGAGGCAAAUCAUCAAGGACGGAUGGGUAGACUAUGAAGGAGAAGAUGUAAGGUCUGAAGACAUAAAGCUUGAACAGAACUGUCCUGAGGAGACCGUAGCACCGAGUCAGGUGUGGAGAGAGAAGAUAGUUAUACACGAAGACCAGGCACCGCCGGAACCACCGACUACGCCAUCCACCGAAUCCCAGGACGAUUGAGAAAACAGAGAGUCUCGUUCGGAGGACUAAAAAAACACCGAACACCUUGCCAAGAGGUAAACUUGGUAGUUAUCUUUCUCCUUUCAAUUAUUUCAAAUAGUUUGCUUAGUUAAUCAGGUUCACAUCAUCUUAAAAAGAAAAUAAAAAUGUUAAAAAUAGUAAGCCCCAUGUGAGUAUGCUCAUGGCAUAAAACCCAUAAGUACAUUCACUGUGGUGGCAUAAAAAUAAAAUAAAUAUAUUCUUGUCCUAUAAAAAUAAAAAUAUAAAAAUAAGAUUAUGAUCCUACUAAACAGAGUAAUAUUUAUUGAGGAGGCUCAACAUGAUAAAGGCUAGAUAUUUAUGCUAACAUUUAACCAGUUCCACAAAGCUUUGUUGUCUAUUUGAGCUCCACAGAAUUUAAGGAUCAAAGAAGACUAGGAGACGGAGGACAUCCUAAUCGCUGUCAGAGUGCUGCCGACAUUCAAAUACACCUCCGCCACCUGCUAGCUACAUCAAAAGGAAUUAUGUCAAAAUCCAGCUUGGGGGAGAGCACCCCCAUUUAUCCAGCUAAGUAUUCUACUCACGUUUAUACUUUACUCUAAUAAUAAAAAGAUGCAUAAUCAUAUAAACCCAAAUAAAGAUUUUGUGCUUAUAUACAUAUAUCUUUGCUUAGUUUGCUAAAUAAAUAAAUAAAUAAAGUUUGCUAUGAACCCUCAUGAUAAGCUCUCACAUGGAUAUGAUGAGUAGUUGCUCUGCCAUGACUAGUUCUUAAAAUUGAAAUCUCUCUCAAGUUUAGGCAUGACUGUUAUUAAUUAAGAUUUGCUCUAAACCUGAACUUGUGGGGAGAGUACUUGAUCUAAAGUCUAAGUCGUUAACGGAUAUGAUAUGGGAAGGUUGAGCUGCUGUUUAUCUGUUUCUAGAGAUGCUAGAAUUCUGGAGAAUUUAUCUUUAAAAAAAUCUUUAAAAUGUUGCAUGAUGAGUUCCUGUAUGAUGAGAGUUUAAAUUCCUACCACAGCCAUAUAUACAUGCUUGCUAAACUUUGAGCCACACAUUUACUUUACUGCUUAUGAGCAUUGAGUGUGGUCAAGCUUUGUAGACCCUUAGGAGCUUGUCAUGUGGUUAAAUCAAGAUUCACUUGCACGUUCACUCAUACAUGCUACUUCUACUCCGGAAGUACCAUCCAUAUAUAUCCAUUUCCAUCUCCAGAACCACCCAAAAAUAUUCUACUCCUAAUCCGGGAGAGAAUAGCCAAAAAGAUUAUCAUAUUCCUGUUUUUCCCCUGUGAAAUAAAUGCUCAAGUUAUCUUGUUACUACCACUUGCUAUAUUAUCUCAUGAGAUGAGUGCUCUAAAAAAAGAAAAAAAAUAUAUAUACGAGGAAAUAAAAAGGGGCAAGUGCCCGGAACCUCGAAGAAAAGAAAAAGUGAGACGAGAGGUAAAAAUGGACAAGUGUCCGACAGUAGAAUUAGGGGUACAAGAUACCCACUUGAGAGAAAAGAAAAAAAAAUAUAGAGCAUCUCAUUCUCCUCAAAAAGUUUCAAAAGAGCAAGAAAGGUAUGUAUUCCCUCAAAAGAGCAAAAGUAGAAUUAGACUUUCACCAUUGUUAUCACCAUCAUCACCUUACACCAUUCAUUCGCUACACAUGCACAUCUUGAUUUGACUUAUUGACUUGUUCUUCUGGAUCCAUGGUUUGACUAUGCAAUAAAUGUCUUGUAAGUAUGUAUUAGCUGUCUCCCACCUAUGAGCUCCAGAUAUCAAAAGCCUUAUUAGAGUAGGGUGAGAGAGAAGGCAAUGUCACUAUGCCUUAUACCACAAAUACCACAUACUUUGAGAGAAGGCAUAUACCAUUACUGCCUUGGUAAGGAUCCAGAAAUACCACAAAAGAGAGACUAGAGAGAGUCAUACAAGGAAUCUCUGAGUUUUAUUUGAAAAUCUGCAAAAACUCCAGAGCUAUAGUUAAUCGAAGAACAAGAGACAUGGCGCUUGACUAGACCGUUCUAUCUUUUAACUACUCAAGACUCAAGUGACGGUUGCAAGCCCCAUGGUGGAAGGUAAUAUGAGUAAGUUUAAAUCUUAACAGUUACCCUAACCCAGAGAUGAGAUCUUGUUUGAAUGCAUGUAUAUCUUUAAGGUAUGAAACCACUGCAGAAACUCUUGAGUUCAUCUUUGCUUAGGGACGAGAAAAGGUUAAGCUUGGGGGAGCUUGUUGACGGUCCUUAAUGCUCACAUUUAACCAUCAACUAAUCCUGGAAAAGGAUCCAAAUGCAACCAACACCUAGACUUAGGGUUUUAUCUGACAGAAUUCCACGAGUUUUGGUGUUUGUCUAUUUCUGCAGGGGGUUAUCAGGAAAUAUGGAAGAAAGGCCCACACGUCGGGUUUACAUAGAGAUAUUGACGUGCUGCGCAAUUUUCUAUCAUCUAGAAGACUCCAGAAGCCACGGGACCGAAGCGGAGGCCGAGAGGACACAGGGACAGGGCGCCCGCCCACCUUUCCUGGGCGCCCGCCCUCAGCCAGAGUCCAAUCAGGACUCUCUUUCGGGAUAUUGCUCCACCGACCUAAAGGAUCAAGGAAAACCACACGAUCAAUGUCGGUUUGAUCCAACGGCCCAGAUUCACUUGAAGAGACUAUAAAACCAGACCCCCCUGGCCCCUGGAGAUCAUACCUCUUCUACAGAAUCAAAGUUAGGGUUUCAAUUCUUCAUCCAAGUAGAGAGGAUCCCUCUAGUUCUUCUAGUUCUACCUCUAGUUCAUCUAGAUCUAGUUCUAGUUCAUCUAGUUCUAGUUCUAGUUCUUCUAGUUCUAGUUCUAGUUAGUUCUAGUUGUAAUCUAGAGAAUAGGGAGAGAGAAGAGGAGAGCGGAGGAGGAGCCGGAUCUGUCGGAUCUUCCUCAACAUUAUACUUUUGCAGCAUCUGGUUCGUUCUUCAUCGUUCUCCAGGUUCUUCAAUUCAUAAUUCCUGAGUUCUUUAAUUACUUUUAUUUACAUUCAAGUUUUUUAUUGGAUUCCCGCUUGCAUCAAGUGCUCUAGUCUUUAUAACGCUAGAGUAGUAAUUAAUAGAUUAGACGUGGUGUUUAGUUUUGCAAUUACCUGGAAUUGCACCCAAUCCUGCGGAUUGUUGUGGUAGCCUUAGGGUAGUGACAGCCCUAACGGUCGACGUAUUCCACCACGUUCGGAUCGGUGUUUGUAGGACCGUAGUCAGACCUUCCUAGCCCCCUUCUCAUCUCUUUCUGUGGUUAGUGCUCUGAUGUCCCGAUAUAGAUAAUCUUGAAGUAAUUCUUGAUUCUUAGAUCAACUAGAGAACUCUCAGGAAACUUCCUCUCUUCCCACCAAAAAUAAUUAUAUAGUUAUCCUUGGGCGAUCUUGAUUCUUAAUUAGUACACUCACGUUCUCUGUGGAAAAUCGAUACUCUGGAAUACUCCCGGGUGAAAGCUACAUCGGUAUCCGUGCGCUUGCGGAUUUUUCUGUUUGCGUUUAAAAUACCCAACAAUAAGCAGUAAAGUAAAUGUGUGGCUCAAAGUUUAGCAAGCAUGUAUAUAUGGCUGUGGUAGGAAUUUAAACUCUCAUCAUACAGGAACUCAUCAUGCAACAUUUUAAAGAUUUUUUUAAAGAUAAAUUCUCCAGAAUUCUAGCAUCUCUAGCAACAGAUACAUAGCAGCUCAACCUUCCCAUAUCAUAUCCGUUAACGACUUAGACUUUAGAUCAAGUACUCUCCCCACAAGUUCAGGUUUAGAGCAAAUCUUAAUUAAUAACAGUCAUGCCUAAACUUGAGAGAGAUUUUAAUUUUAAGAACUAGUCAUGGCAGAGCAACUACUCAUCAUAUCCAUGUGAGAGCUUGCCAUGAGGGUUCAUAGCAAACUUUAUUUAUUUAUUUAUUUAGCAAACUAGGCAAAGAUAUAUGUAUAUAAGCACAAAAUCUUUAUUUGGGUUUAUAUAAUAAUGCAUCUUUUUAUUAUUAGAGUAAAGUAUAAACGUGAGUAGAAUACUUAGCUGGAUAAAUGGGGGUGCUCUCCCCCAAGCUGGAUUUUGACAUAAUUCCUUUUGAUGUAGCUAGCAGGUGGCGGAGGUGUAUUUGAAUGUCGGCAGCACUCUGACAGCGAUUAGGAUGUCCUCCGUCUGCUAGUUUUCUUUGAUCCUUAAAUUCUGUGGAGCUCAAAUAGACAACAAAGCUUUGUGGAACUGGUUAAGUGUUAGCAUAAAUAUCUAGCCUUUAUCAUGUUGAGCCUCCUCAAUAAAUAUUACUCUGUUUAGUAGGAUCAUAAAUUUAUUUUUAUAAUUUUAUUUUUAUAGGACAGGAAUAUAUUUAUUUUAUUUUUAUGCCACCACAGUGAAUGUACUUAUGGGUUUUAUGCCAUGAGCAUACUCACAUGGGGCUUACUAUUUUUAACAUUUUUAUUUUCUUUUUAAGAUGAUAUGAACCUGAUUAACUAAGUAAACUAUUUUAAAUAAUUGAAAAGCAAAAGAUAACUACCAAGUUUACCUCUUGGCAAGGCAUUCGGUGUUUUUAAGUCCUCCGAAUGGGACUCUCUGUUUUCACAGUCAUCCUGGGAUUCACUUGAUGGCGUAGUCGGUGGUUCCCGCAGCGCCUGCUCUUCAUGUAUAACUAUCUUCUCUCUACACACCUGACUCGGUGCUACGGUCUCCUCAGGACAGUUCUGAUCAAGCUGUAUGUCUUCAGACCUUACUACUUCUCCUUCGUAGUCUGCUCAUCCGUCCUUGAUGAUUUGCCUCCUCUGGUUGCGGUUGCGUCAUCUUCUUCUUGUCCUGACCUGCUUAGAGUCUUCAACUAUAUAGUUAGGGUCAGUAAAACAGCGUCGUACCUUCUCAGAGGGGAAAUACAUGUGGACUUCUCUGGUUCCAAUGUAGAUGAUUGCUUUAACGGUGUUGAGGAAUCUCAUUAGUACCAGUCUCUAUCACCAUGAAGUCUGCUGGGGCGUACAAGGUACCAACUCGGAUGCAGAAGUUCUUCAAUAUUCCCUUCGGGAAACUUAGUGUCUGAUCUGCAAGCUGCAAACACAUGGUUGUUUCUAGGAAAGGAUGUGUAAAGAAUUUUUCAUAGAGUACCCUGGGCAUAAUAUUGACGCUGGAGCCAAAGUCGCAGAGUGCUUCUGGGAAGUCUACCAUGCCGAUGGAGAUCGGGAUGACGGGGCGUCCUAGAUUGUCUCUCUUGACCGGCAGAAGGUCAGUAAUUAUUUCCACAACGGGGUUACUCCAGUAGUUACGUCCUCAAGCAUCUCAGGGCAGUGAUUGCCUGAGUGUCCAGUAUCUCCAGUGUGAUCUAGGUUCUUCACUUGGUGGAGUCUAGGAGUUGUAAAACUCCUUCAUAUUUUGCUUGAAGUGUACCUGCUCAUAGAGACAAGGCAGAGAUCAAGUGCGUGGGCCCUGUUGGUGGAAAACACCAACAGAACCAAAAGUGUAUUUGUUCUCUCUAACCUUAAGCAUAGUGAGCAAGACAAAGUUGAUGGAUAAUAUGAUCAUGUGUAGCAUUUAAAGUAUUUGUCAUAUCAGAUCGCUCAACCUAAUGGAAAGAUAAUCUAUCUAUACUUAUCUCUUUUUUUUAUAUAUCUUCCAAAGAUUGUGUGUGCAACAUUUAGUGUGGGAUCACAAAGGUGA
rnacentral:lncRNA from 1 species